rnacentral:lncRNA from 1 species
CUCUCUCUCUCCUAAUGGAAAGACAUCUUGUUCUAUUUAUACUAGGGUAGAAAUGAUCACUAAAAACUAAAAAGACUUAAAUACCCUUAAGAGAAUUGGGAUAUUACAUGCUUAGUGGAGGACACUCUGUAUGUUAUGUUGUGUGGGCGAGGGACGUGUUUACGUGGAUUUAUGAAAGUUAAGUGAGCAUCGUACUAAGCGGUAAUUGAAUUAAUGUAGCUCAAGUGAUCUGAAAGAAAAUGCGAAAGUUUGAAAAUGACAAAAUAAGAUUUUGAUGAUUCGUUUUACAAUAUUUUCGAAUACCGUGGCACGUCAUCCAUUUACAUUAUAUAUAUGUAUGUAUGUAUUUUGAUAUAUGAAAAAUUGAUUUGUUUAUUGAGUUUUGUACUUAUUAUAGUUUAUUAUGAUUCAGUUUUCAGAAAUCAGGUUUGAUUUAUGAUGAGUGACGAGAAAGACCUGAAUUGAGGAAGUAUGUGGUUUGGCAUAAUUAUCCUUAGGUUCUUCCACUGCAGUUUAAGGUUGCGUUUUGAGGCUUAAAUUGUCGUUAAUAAUUAUAUUCGACGAGCGAGUUCUUAUUGAUUUUAUAGAGAUUUUAAAGUAUAUAUUUGAAUUGCAGUUAGAUUCACCCUGUGGAGUUCGGGCGGGUCGUUUCAAAUUCAGCCAUUCCGGAUCCGGAGGUAAAGGGUGGGUUAAGACUCUGGAUCCGGAAGUAAAGGGUGGGUUAAGAUGGCCCAUGGGGAAGUCAUAUUCUGGGCAAAGAUACAGAGUUUUUGGGGUUUGGCACACCGAAUUUAAAUCAUAUAAAAGCCCAUCACUAAAGCUCAAGGUAAGAAAUGCUGAUCGAUUUGAUUUCAAGACUGCAACUGGGGAAGCUACAAUUGAGAUUAAUCUGAAGUUGCGAAGAAUAGUUUCGGAGAUUCAGGUAUUUGCUGCUUUUUGCUUCAACUUUUAUCACUUAACCUGCUAUCCUUGUAUAUGAUUACAUAGUGCUUGAAAUUCUCUCUGUUCCAUCAUAAUGUUAAUGCAUCUUUGAUCUUCACACUUUACUGUAAUUUUAAUGAGUCCCGAUCCAGUCACAGGUGGUGGGUGUUCAUUGGCGGAGCUGCGGGCCCCACAACACAGCUCCACCAAUGACAAAUCGCCAUGGGCGCGCACAUGAUCGAAAUGCUAAUUGAACAUAUUAUCUGCAAGAACCCUGUUUAGUGUUCUAUUAGCUUUGUUUCGUCUGUCAUUAACAUGCGCUUAUUACCUUUUAUUUCAAUCGUCAGGAUGGGAAGAUUGAUACUGAUUCCGUCUACAGUGGGUUUAAAGACAACCUGAGGUUAAUGUGGGAUCAUUUCUUGUCAUGCGAGCAGCUUUUGACAUGAACAACAGAUUGCAAGCUCUCCCCUACUCUGGGUUGAUGUUUGCAUUUGGGUGCAUCCUGUACUUGCUGCUGUGGAAAGAUGUAAAUAGGAUGAUGUUUGUGUCAAAUGGUUUUUUGCUAAUUAUGUGUGCACUUUUAUUAAAUCUUUGCUGGAGUAGUUCUCAUUCUGAACUUCAAAUUUUGUCCAGUUUCGGCCUCAUUUUUUUUCUCGUGUUUUACCUUUUCAUGUGUGAAUAAAUAUCAACAACUAGUACAAAUUUGUAAGACUAAGACCUGUCUUUCAAAAUUAAUGACAUUGCUUGAAUCACUUGGGAUCCACUUGCAGAUCUAUUUUGAAGAAAAGUUUUCUCCCCAACCUUAAUCGGUAAUGCAUUAUGAUUCUCUCCUUAUUUUUUUUCUUUUUUCUUUUAGUCUCAUUUUAUUUUUUAAAUUUAGAUUAAAAAAAUCAAUUUAAUAACAAAUAAAAUAAAAGAAACUGGUUUAAUUGUUAAUAUCAGAAUUUAAAAUUUAAUUUUGAUUUUUUUUUUUAAUGAUGGUGAUCGUUUAGUCCAUAAGGAGCGAUCAAGAGUAACAAAAAAAGAUUAUUGUCUGUCAGUAAUAUGGUAAUUUAUAGAAAGGUCCCUGAUGAUGUCCGGUUAAAAUUUAAUUAAAUUAGUAAAUUAGAGAAUUAGUUAAUUUUUUCACAUAUUACAUUAAAGUGGAGUCUCGCUGCGAGCAAAAGAGAUGCCUUUUACAAAGCAAGAAAAGAAAACACAAAAAGCACACUUCAAAACUUGUGCAAGAAGGAGAUAUGUAUAUUGAUACAUGUAUAUACACCCACGUCUGAGGAUCAGCUGAACCAACACCCAACACUAGGAAGCAAUUUUAAAAUUUUUGGUUAGUAUUGUUAUUUACAUCUUAUCAAUUUUUGUUCAAUUUAUUAUAUUUUCAGUACAGCUUUGUUUCAGGGUACUUGUCAUGUGAAUUUCUCUGAUGAUUUUGGUGGGUUCUUUUCAGCUUUUAUUUCACUGUCUCCACUGGUUAGCUUAGCUACUGUCUACUGAGAUAAAAUCAUUUGCUAGAAUAACUUAAUCUUUUGCUAUUUUGUUAUAUUCAUUUUAUACAGAAUUAAAUCAUUGUAUCAAAUGUUUGUUUUAGCUCUGAUCUUGCGUUACUGAAACGUUUCAUUCAUUUUUCCCAAGCACUUUGGUUGCUAGUUUAUCGGGCAGUACUGCGAUAGUGAUUUCAAUUUACAAAAUUCUGUAAAUAUUUAUUAUUCUUAGUGUCGUUUAAGGUAGUGUGAAGUUAAUAUUAUCACAAUGGCUUACAUUCCACCAAAUUUGAGGCGUUCGAAGGACCCCCAGAGGCCCUCUCCAGUUCCGGAGAUGCUUGAGCCUAUAUUCAACAGAAAAUUAAAAUUGGGAUCAUCCAAGCAUGACGCAGGCGCGAGUACAAAUUGCAUCGAGUAUGGAGACCAUGCCGUUCACAGAUCGUUUGUCUGUGGCUUGGAUAAUAAUAAAAGCAUUUCUUCUGACCAUUUCGAGGAGGUUCCAGAGGAGCCUGAUGAGCAAAAAAGAUCAGUGACCAUUAAUCUGGCCACAGGUUAGUGGUCGGCAUUUUUAGUUUUAUGUUAGAUAUGUUCUACUUUCGUUCUUGAUUUAUGUCGGGUGUUAACUUUAGUUAUGUUGACAUUUUUGGUUGGUAGAUAAUGAUAAAGCGUGUGCAAAUACAUCAAGAAGCCCCUGGGAAUCGAUAGCAGCAAAUGUAUGGCCAGAUGUAUUGAGUGCUUGUAACAUUGUCAAGAACGAAAUGGAGGAAAAGCCAAAAAUGGUUGCUAGAUUUGGCAAUAUUCUUUUCGAUGAGUAUGUGAUCUGGUUCCAUUGGUGUUCCAGCUUGAAUGUUUUUAGUUUGAUCAUUCCAUUCCUUUCUUUUGGCUUUGAAAUUGUAGCAACGAAUAUGCAUAUUCACACUGAAAUCUGACAGAAAUUUUGCGGUCAUAUAAGUACCGGCAGCUAAAAUUACGAAGUUUACCAUUAACGCUAGUGCCAUCAACGGAUGACAGUAAAUCGGAUCUCCAAACCAGGGAUACAAGUUAACAUUGCUUGUAAAAGCUAAAGAAGAAAAGAUUUAUUAAAAAAAUAAUAAUAAUAAAUAAAGGGAAAAGAAAUGACAAGAUCAAUGAUUUAUAGUGCAUGCACUUCUUGAGACUUGUUGUAUCUCAAGGAAGCUUCCAUGGCAUCUAGAAUUUGGCUUUGGCUUCUUGUAGGCACAUUUCAGUAGUUGCUGCUGGAAACAAAUGUAUCCAUUGUCUUAGUACUGCUACAUUUCUGGUGCGAGAAACAAAUCAAUCUGUUGCCAUGGCCAGGUUUUAUUGUUUGAUAUUUCAUUGGGACAGCAAACUAAACCAUUGCUUGGCCUAUUUCUUAGAAUAAAAAUGAUACUAUGUGUAUCACAUAUUUCCAUUCUUCUAUCACGUCUUUGAAACUGCUAUUAGUUUUCUUAUCAAGGUGCCUCAAAGAAAUAAUUAUUAUAUAAUUCAUCUUGACGCAGGAACGAUUUACUGAGCUUAGAAAGUGCAAGCGAACAUCAAGUUGCUGAAACCGCUUUUAAGGCAAUGAGGACCUGCUUUGACACAGGUGUCCCUGCUACAUACAUGGAAAAAAUUGUACAUAAAGUUGUGCCAAAAAUUGGGGUUGAUUUUGUACAGGACAAGGAUAUAUACCAUGUACAGGUAGUUCUUCUGCUAAACACUUAUAUAUUCACGAUCAAGUUUCUUUUAUCUCUCACUUAAUUUGGCCAUUAAUUGUUUUCCCCUUCUUGUCUAGUUGUGUGACGGCACACGACAAAUUUUGUGCAAAUGUACUGUUAAAGAAGAUAAAAAGCUUGAGCUCUAUAAGGCAAGUUUUAUGCAUUUGGCUAACUGUUAUUUAAAUCUUGUGUGUGUUGCCUGUAUUUUAAGGAGACUUUUUGCUUGUUCAAACAUCGCAACAAGACUUCUGAUGUAUUGAAUUGAAUAGAUGAGGGUCUGAAUAUAAUCUUUUCACUGUGAUUAUAAAGGAGGUACCAAAAUAAAAGCGAUAAACAUUAAGAAUGAGAUGAAACCUUUAUGCCUCACUAAGACUUUUUAGAAGUCUCUGCAGGAAUAAUCUCAAUUUUGAGGAAAAGAGUUUAAAAUGAAGAAGAAAAUUCUCAAUGAGUAAGACUAAUUCUACUUCUGAUUGAGGAAGAGGCUUGUUAAUUCGAUAAGGAAAGAUCUAGUUAGUAUUAUGAACCAAUUAAAAUUUGAAUUACGUUAGUUUACCUGUAAUUGAAUGUCUAAACCAACAAACUAUGUAUUACAUUACAGUUGCGAAUAUAAAAUUAUAAAAAUACUGCUGAUUAUGGACCAAAUUGAAUAUGCCAAUCUUUAGGAACUCCUUUCAGCAUCAUGGAUUUAGAUUUCAGUAAUCUUUUUUAUUUGACUAUGGUGACAUCCCGAAGACCUGAACUAUCCAGUAUCUGAUGGUAGUCAUUUUUUAUUUAUUUAUUGUUGCAUUCUCGUCUUGAAUAUGAACAUUUUUCUUGUAGGUCCAACUAAACCAAGUUCGUCACAUGGUAGCUGAUAUAUUCUGUUUUGAUGAAAAUCUAGAUUUGAGGUUGGCACUAUAUACAAGAAGUACCUUAUUUGCUCUCCCUGUGAGUUCAUCUGCUACUUUGCGCUUGUUUUACCUAGACUUUUAAGUUACCCCUUCAUUUUUUACUCUUUUUGUUUUAUUUGGUUAUUGCUCAUUAGAAUCCUCAUCGAUACAGAUGGUGGGGAAUAAAAAUUCAAGACCAGGGUAAAUGAGGAAAUCUAAAACUUAUAGCUGUGUUUUCAUCAUCAAAACUCAAAAGUUUACUUUCGAAGGGUUGAGAAAAACAAAUAUAUGACGAGCUUAAACGGUCAAACUUUAGUCAUGCAUUGCCCUUUCCUUGAAAUCAGAAACCUUACAAAUGUUAAAAAUAAAAUAAUAAAUAAAUCAUUAGAUUUUCAAAAUUAGUUGCCAUCAAUUAGAAUUAAAACAAAAGUUAAAUAUAAGGUUUUUCUUGUUGUUGGGGUGCGUAUGUGUGUUCUCGAUCUGUUGUGAGGAAUGUACAUUUUUAUUUUAUAUUGCUGGAAACAAUCUUGAGUUAUAAGCCAAAAAUGUGUAUUUACCAUAUCUUAUAUUUUCUAUGUAGGCCUAGCAAAUGAAUUCCAUGAUGAAACUGAAAUUGUAAAAUUUGCAGGAUGAUGACAUGAGCAGCAUUAGAAUUCUGAUUAAUUCAGCCAUCCCGGAUCCGAAGGUAAAGGGUGGUUUAAGAUGGCCCGUGGGCAAGUCAUAUUCCGGGAAUUACACAGUUGUUGGGGUUUGGCACAAUGAAUUUAAGUCAUAUAAAAGCCCAUCACUAAAGCUCAAGGUAAGAAAUGUUGAUCGAUUUCUUUUCAAGGCUGGAACUGGGGUAGCUACAAUCGAGAUUAAUCUAAAGUUCAGAAGAAUAAUUUCGGACAUUCAGGUAUUUGCUGCUUUUUGUUUUAACUUUAUCACGUGACCUGCUAUCUUUGUGUAUGAAUAUAUAGAGCUUGAAAUUCUUGCUGUUACAUCAUAAGGUUAAUGCAUAUAUCUUCACACAUUUCUUAUUGAGGUUUUAUUUUGAGCUAUAAUUAUAAUUUUCAAUUUUUACUAUUUAAUGGGUAUUUUCUUGUAGAUUGCUGUACCCAAAAAAAAAAAAAAAAUUUGAUCAAGAGUAUUUUUAACGGUGAAAUAGCAAGAUUCUAAUGUAUAAUCUUCAUGAACUCGUUUUAGUUGUUAUACAGUUGUCCCUCUCUGUUAGUUUAUUUAUUCUGUCGUAACUCGCAAGUAACAAAUGACUUUUUAGCUAUUGCCUAAACUGGAGUAAAUGUGAUUUCAAAACUGAGCUUCCAGCUUAUGACUUAGAAGUCUUAUGUGUGUGACUUGCACUUUGGUUUUACAAUCACCAUUGGAAGAGGAGCUAGAGUUUGUUAAUUGCUUCAGUCCCAGGAUUAGUGUUUUGAAACAUAAAUAUGUUUCAUGAUUGUUAUUGCUCACUAUUUCCUAUGGCUUUGUCCCCAUGAUCAUACAAAAUUAGUUUUGUAUUUGGUAUCUUUCAUGUUUCAUUAACAUGUUCUUAUUACUUUUCUCUUUUAAUCGUCAGGACGGGGAGAUUGAUCCCGAUUCCAUCUACAAUGGGUUUAAAGACAAGUUGAGGUUAAUAUGGGACCAUUUCUUGUCAUGGGAAGAUUGAUACUGAUUCCAUCUACAGUGGGUUUUAAAGCCAACUUGAGGCUAAUAUGGGAUCAUUUCUUGUCAUGCGAGUAACCUUGGACAUAAACAGCUCUCCUUCUACUUCGUUCGUAUUUGCAUGCGUGUGCAUUAUGUACUUAUUGCUAUUGAAAGAUGUAAAUGCAAGAACGAGAUCACGUUCAUAUCGAAUGGAUAAAUGUUUUUGCUAAAAUGUAUAGACUUGUAUAAGUCGUUGCUUGAGUUCAUAAAUUCUCAUUCUGACCCAGUUCUUACCUCAGUUUUUUCCCGUAUAAUAGUUGUAUUUGGUAUAAGUCUGGCAGUUCCUGUGUAGUCUUUUAUAUUUUCCAUGUGUGGAAUGUAUAUUAACAGCUUGUAACUAUAGAGUUUGAUUUUAUUUCUAAGACCCGUCUUUCAAAAUUUAUCUAGUGACAUACUUGAAUCACUUGGGAUCCACUGGCAAAUGUAUAUUGAAGAACAAUUUUCUCUCUGCCUCUUAUGUAAUCGCACCCACUGAUAAUAUGGUAAUUUGUUAGAAGGUCCUUGAUGUCUGGUUAAAAUUUAUUUAGAUUAGUAAACUCAUCCAAAACGGUCUCACUUUCAAUUUUUAUUUUGAAAGUGUAUUUUUAAAGAUUCAAUCGGCAUUCUGCAUGUCAAUGCUUUUUUUAUUUUUUUACUUUUACUUUUAAACUAUUGGUUAGAAGGCAAACAAUUCACAUUAAAGUGGAGCCUCCUUGGGACUAAAGGUGAUGCCUUUCCCAAAGCAAGAAAAGAAAACUCAAAAGCCCACUUCAAAACUUGCGCAAGAAGGAGAUGUUAUUGACAUAUGCAGACAUGCUGUCUUAAUUUUUUUUGGUGCCUCUUUACAUACAUACAAGUCUGAAGACAGCUAAGCGCCUGAGCCAAACAGCAAACACUAGGAAGCAAUUUUAAAAUUUUUGGUUAGUAUUUUUCUUUAUUUAUUCUAUUUUUUUUUUAUUAUUAUAUUUUCGCUUCAAUUUUGUUUCAGGGUACUCGUUAUGUGCAUUUCUUUGAUGAUUUUGGUGGGUUCUUUUUAGCUCAUAUUUUUCUGUUUCCACCGGUUACUUUAGCAACUGUCUACUCAGAUAAAAUUAUUUGCUUCAAUAACUUAAUAUUUGCUAUUUUAUUAUGUCAUUUUGUAUAGAGUUAAUUCAUUGUAUCAAACAUUAUCAUAAAUGAUGCAUGAGUAAUUUCAUUUAGUUUUCAUUCCUUCUUUCAUGAUUGUAGGAUAUCUUUUACCUUUUUUUUAAAAAAAAAAUGUUCUCUUUGUCUAGAGAAUCUUUGUUUUAGUUUUGAUAUUGGGUUACUGAAAUAUUUAAAUUCAUUUUUCCUAAGUAUUUUUGUUGCUCGUUUAUCAGGCAAUGCUCCAAUACUGAUUUCAUUUCACAAAAUUCUGCAAAUACGUGCUGUUCUUAGUGUGUUUAAGGUAGCGUGAAGUUAAUAUUAUCGUAAUGGCUUACAUUCCACCACAUAAGCGGCAUUCGAAGGGCCCCCAGAGACCAACUCCACCGGAGAUGCGUGUGCCUGAAUUCAACAGAAAAUUAAACUUCGGAUCACGCAAGCAUAAUGCCGGCACGAAAGUAAAUUACGUCGAGUAUGCUGACCAUGCCGUACACAGAUGGUUUGUUUGUGGCUUGGAAAAUGAUAAUAGCUUUCCUUCUUCUGUCCAUUGUGAGGAGUUUCCGGAGGAGCCUGCUGAGCAUAAAAGAAGAGAAAACCCCUUAGUUUUAGUGACCAAUAAUCUGGCUAAUGGUUAGUGGUCUGCCUUGUUAAUUUAUCUUAACAUGUUCUACUUUCGUUCUUGAUUUAUGUCUGGUGUUAACUUUAGUUAUGUUGACAUUUCGCUUUUGGGUUGGUAGAUAAUGAUGAAGUGAGUGGGAAUAUAUCAAGAAGCGCAUGGGAAUUGGUAGCAGAAAAUGUAUGGCCAGAAAUAUUGAGUGCCUGUAAGAUUGUCAAGAACGAAAUGGAGGAAAAGCCAACAUUGGCUGCUAGUUUUGGAUAUCUUCUUUUCAAUAAGUAUGUGAUCUAGUUCCAUUGCUGUUACAGCUUGAAUGUUUUGAGUUAUAUCAUUCCUUUCCUUUCUUUUGACUUUGAAAUUAAAGGAACGAAAAUGCAUAUUCAUACUAAACUCUGACAGAAACCUUGUGGUCAUACAAGUAAUGGCAACUAAAAUUAUGAGCUUUUCCAUUGACCAUAGCCCCAUCAAUAGAAGACUGUAAAUUGGAUCUCCAAACCAGGGACACAAGUUAACAUUGCUUGUAAAAGCCAAAGAGGAAAAUAUUUAUAAAAAAAAAAAAGAAAAAUAAAAUGACAAGAUCAAUGAUUUCUAGUGCGUGCACUUCCUUCGUACCUCAUGGAAACUUCCAUGGCCUCUAGAAUUUGGCUUUGGCUUUGCAUAGGCACAUUUCAGUAGUCGCUGCUGGAAACAAAUUCAUCCAUUGUCUUAGUACUGCCGUAUUUCUGGUGCGAGAAACAAAUCAAUCUGUUGCCAUGGCCAAGUCCUGUUCUUUGAUAUUUCAUUGGGACAACUAACUGUACCACUGCUUGGCCUAUUUUUUCACAAUAAAAAUGAUGCUCUAGGUAUCAAAUAUUUCCAUUCUUGUAUCUCAUCUUUGAAAAGUGCCUCAAGGAAAUAAUUAUUGUAUCAUUCGUCUUAAUGCAGGUAUAAUUUACUGAGCUUAGAAAGUGCAAGAGAAGGUCAAGUUGCUGAAACCGCUUUGAGGUUAGUGAGGAGAUUCUUUUGCAGAGGUGUCCCUGCUACAUACAUGGAGAAAAUUGUAAAUGAAGUCGUGCCAAAAAUUGGGGUUGAUUUUGUAGAGCACAAGGAUAUAUACCGCAUCAAGGUAGUUCUUCUGCUAAACAAUACAGUAUUCAUGACCAAGUUUCUUUUAUCUAUCACUUAAUUAGCCGUUGAUUCCUCCCCACGCCCCCUUGUGCAGUUGUCUGACAGCACACGGGAAAUUACUUGCAAAUGUACUGUUAAAGAGGAUAAAAAGCUUGAUCUCUAUAAGGCAAGUUUUCUGCUACUGCCUAACUAUUAUUUACAGGCAAGGAGUCAAAUCUUGUUCGUGUUGCUUGUAGUUUAAGGACUUUUGCUAGUUCAGACAUUGGAACAAGACUUCUGAUAUUAUGAAGGAGCUAUUGAAAUAAAAGCAAUGAAGAAUAAGAAAGAGACACGAAAAACUUUGUGUCUCACCAAGACCUUUUAGAAGUCCCUCCAGGAAUAUCCUCGAUAGAAAGGAAAAGAAAUUAAAUUGAACAAGAAGAUGAAAGUUCUCAAGAAGUAAUACAAUAUAGUAACUAAUAUAAACCAAGCUUGUUAAUUCAACAUGGAAAGAGCUUGUAACUCAUAUAAACCAAUUAAAAUUUUGAAUUAAGUCAACUCGUCAUUGAAUGUCUAAACCAACAAACUGUAUAUGUACCAAAUUGAAUAUGCCAAUCUUUAGGAAUUCCUUUCAGCAUCAUGGGAUUUAGAUCUCAAUAGUCUUUUUCUUUUGACCGGAAUUUUCAAGUACCUCAUGGUAGUCAUUUAUAUAUUUUAUCCUUUCAAGUGCCACGCUGUUUCCCAUACGGUUCAUAUAUAUCUAUUAUUUAUUUGUUUAUUGAUUGUUGUUGUGAGCGGAAUCUCAUCUCGAAUAUGAACUUAUUUCUUGUAGCUUGAGCUAAACCCUGUUCGAAGCAUGAUAGCGGAUAUGUCAUGCCCUUAUAAAAAUGAAGACUUGAGGUUGGCACUGUGUACGAAAAGUACCUUAUCUGCUCUCUCUGUAAGUUAAUCUGCUACUUUGCAUACGUUUGAGUUAACCCUUCUCCCCCCCCCCCCCCCCNNNNNNNNNNNNNNNNNNNNNNNNNNNNNNNNNNNNNNNNNNNNNNNNNNNNNNNNNNNNNNNNNNNNNNNNNNNNNNNNNNNNNNNNNNNNNNNNNNNNNNNNNNNNNNNNNNNNNNNNNNNNNNNNNNNNNNNNNNNNNNNNNNNNNNNNNNNNNNNNNNNNNNNNNNNNNNNNNNNNNNNNNNNNNNNNNNNNNNNNNNNNNNNNNNNNNNNNNNNNNNNNNNNNNNNNNNNNNNNNNNNNNNNNNNNNNNNNNNNNNNNNNNNNNNNNNNNNNNNNNNNNNNNNNNNNNNNNNNNNNNNNNNNNNNNNNNNNNNNNNNNNNNNNNNNNNNNNNNNNNNNNNNNNNNNNNNNNNNNNNNNNNNNNNNNNNNNNNNNNNNNNNNNNNNNNNNNNNNNNNNNNNNNNNNNNNNNNNNNNNNNNNNNNNNNNNNNNNNNNNNNNNNNNNNNNNNNNNNNNNNNNNNNNNNNNNNNNNNNNNNNNNNNNNNNNNNNNNNNNNNNNNNNNNNNNNNNNNNNNNNNNNNNNNNNNNNNNNNNNNNNNNNNNNNNNNNNNNNNNNNNNNNNNNNNNNNNNNNNNNNNNNNNNNNNNNNNNNNNNNNNNNNNNNNNNNNNNNNNNNNNNNNNNNNNNNNNNNNNNNNNNNNNNNNNNNNNNNNNNNNNNNNNNNNNNNNNNNNNNNNNNNNNNNNNNNNNNNNNNNNNNNNNNNNNNNNNNNNNNNNNNNNNNNNNNNNNNNNNNNNNNNNNNNNNNNNNNNNNNNNNNNNNNNNNNNNNNNNNNNNNNNNNNNNNNNNNNNNNNNNUGGCGUUCUCCUUUUAAUAAAUUUGCUCGUUGCUCAUUAGAGUCCUCAUCAUGACAGAUGCUGAGGAUGAAAAAUUGAAGACCUGGGAAAUUAAGGAAAUCCUAAACUCGUAGCUAUGUACACACACAAACACUAAUGACAAGCUCAAAACUGUUAAACUUUAGUCAUGCAUGCAGCAUGUCCAUAAUCUUGAAAAGAAUUUUUGAGUUGUAAGCCAAAAGCAAUAGCUGUUAAAUAUGUAUUACCGUUUCUUAUAUUUUUUAUGUUGUCCCUGAACGGGGUUAGAAUUCUAUGAUCAAACUGAAAUUGUAAAAUUUUCAGGAUGAUGAAAUGAACAGCAUUAGAGUUCUGAUUAAUUCAGCCAUUCCGGAUCCGGAGGUAAAAGGUGGGUUAAGAUGGCCAAUGAGGAAGCCACAUUCUGGGGAAUACACGGUUAUUGGAGUUUGGCGCACUGAAAUUAAAUCAUACAAAAGCCCAUCACUAAAGCUGAAGGUAGAAAAUGUUGAUCGACUUAUUGUUGAGUCUGCAACUGGCUGGAAAACGAUUGAGAUUCAUCUGAAGUGGAGAAGCAUAGUUUCAGAGAUUCAGGUAUUUCCAAUGGCUUUGUUGCAAAACUAGUGCUGUAUUUGAUAUCUUUUUGUCUUUCAUUAACAUGUGCUUAAUUAUUACUUAAUUUUUCUUUUAAUCAAUCGUCUCAGGGCGGGGAGAUCGAUACUGAUUCCAUCUACAACGGGUUUAAAGAGCAGUUGAGGUUAAUAUGGGACCAUUUCUUGUCAACAGAUUGCAAGCUCUCCUGCCUCUCCCCUAAUCUCAGUCCGCAUUCAUACAUGCGUUUGUGUGCAUCCACUACUUGUACCUCUAGGAACAUGUAAAUGCAAGAAUAAGACCAUGUUCGUAUCAAAUGCUUAAAUGUUUUGCUAAUAUGUAUUGUAUUUAAGUGGGCUCUGUAAUGGCUUGUUGCUUGAGUUCCUUAUUCUCAUUCUGAAAUUCCCGGCAUGGUAACAACUAACAAAAAUAUAUUAUCUUUCUCUAAAGUGCAGAAUAAUUUGAUCCUCUUUAAUCCAAUUAAUAAAGUUUGAGUUUAUUUGUAAGACUUGUGCCUGUCUUUCAUAAUUAAUCUAGUGACAUACUCAAUCGGGACCUUUUUGUAAAUAUUUGCCCAAAAAAAAAUAUAUCUUUAAAGCGCUGAUGGCUUCAACAAUGUGGAGGGCACGGGCUUGCCCUCCCAUGAGGGCUUUUUCUCUUUUCACAAAAAUAUAAAAUAUGAGUAGAUUUUCCUCCAUUAUUAUUAAUUUGAGUACAUCAAAAUAAGAAUAAUAAUAAUUCUUAGUUUCUCUUUUGGCACUCAGCUUUUUUAACAAUUUUUUUUGUUAUUGCGAUUGUCAUAUUUUUCCCUUAUAAUGUGAAAUGACUAAAUUAACCAAAAAAAAAACUUUUACUUAGUGACAAAGAAAAAUUAAGAAGGAUGCAAAUGCAACUGUAUAAAUUAAUUAAGGUUUAUUAUUAUUAUUAUUAUUUUCUCAUGUAUUAACCGUAAUGACAUACUUGUAUUUUUGUCGGAGAAGUUCAUCAAAUAAAGAAAGAAUCCACUCCUUCUAAAUUACAUAGCAGUCUCCCUUAAAAAUUGUAUAUUCCUAAUUCUAGUUCCAGGUUUUUUAAUAUUUUCAAUUAUUUUUAAAAACUAAUUUUUAUAAUAUAACGUUUGCUUUUGUUGUCCAAAUAAUUAUAAUAAUUUUUUAGUGAGGGCAUCUUCAUUUUAAUAAAAUAUGAAGGCCAUUAACAGACCAAAAAAAAUCUCUAAUGUAUUAAAAUUUAUAUUUUUUUUUAUAUUUUAGUGUAUAUUCUCACUUUAACAAAGUAUUUAACACAUAAUAAAAAAAAUAGUAUUUAACCAUUUCUAUUUCUAAUGUCUAAACAUUCAACUAAACUCUUCACCCUCUUCUUAGUUGUUCACAGUAUUCAACAAUGAUUAUGGAACCAAAUCUAAUAACAACGAAUUCCUCACAUAUGUUACUCCGUUUCUUAAAUUUGAAUCCAAAAUUCCAAUUUAUUUGCCCAAACGCUCAAUUUCUUAUUCCAAGUUCAUCUCUUUAACCUCCAAAAAACACUUUUUUUCAAUUCCAUUUUGCUGAUUAAUUCCCACGAAACCCUAUAACUCUUAACGCGUUUUGACAAAUGGAAGCUUGCAUGGGCUCCAUGCACACCAUAUGGUAGAGCAGUGGGUUCUACUUUUGGAUCCACUGAUAAUUUUUAACAUUAAAUUUAAUUAGUCCCGUUGUUGGACCCAUUGCUUUGCCACAUUGCAGAGUACCAUUGGGCGAUCUCUCCAUCUCAACAUGUAAAUAAUUAGCCUUCAGUCUGUUCUAAAUGGUCAUAAAGACCUUGUAAGCAACUUUUGUUUAUUCCUGUGAUCUUAUUCCAUCAAUGUCUACGUCUCUAAGAGAGUUGCAUGUCGAUGACAAGUUCUCUCAAAUUUUCAAGAAUUUAUUUAAAAAUUAUUCCUGUGGUCUCUAAAGACCUCUUCAGAAUCGACUCAUGUUUGAUCCCAGGGUCUCCUCUUCUAAUAUCUACAUGCAUGUUAAAAAUUAGCUCGAAAUUCGACACCCAACCCUUCAACCAUUAAUACACCCCUAAAAUGACCUAGAACCAUAUUUAGAGCCUUCGGUUUUUGGCCAAGUGGGUGCAAAUGUCACUCGAGCUUCAUAAUCGACUUACAUUUGAUUCUGUGGUCUCAUCUCACCAAUGUCUAUGUAUGCACAAAAAAUCAGCACGAAAUUCAACUCUCAAAUCCUUCAAUAACAAAAAUGCCCCUAAAAAUGGCCCAGAACAUGUGUUAUAAUCUUUAGUUCUGCGCCUAACUAGUCAUAAAACCUCACUCGGGCCUCAGAAUUAACUCAUGUUUAUUCCUAUAGCCUCAUUUUGCCAAUGUCUAUUCCUCCCUAAGAGUUUUGUGUCAUUCUAACAAGUUCUCCAAUAUUUUUGGGAAUAUUUUGAAAAUUAUUCUUGUGGUCUCGUAAAGAUCUCGUAAAACCUCACCCAGGCCUCGAAUUAAACUCAUGUUUGAUCUUGUAUCUUGUCUCACGAAUGUCAACAUAUAUAGUAAAAUCAUCUCAAAAUUCAACCCCCAACCCCUUUAAUGGCAAAUACGCCCCAAAAAGCCCAAAAUCACAUGCAAUAGGCUUCGAUUCUAGGCCUCAAUGGGUAUAAAAUCUCACAUGAGCCUUAAAAUCGACUCUCAUUUCAUCCUUCAAUCUUCUCUCCUAAAUUUGUAUGUGCAUACAAAAAAUUAACUUGAAGUUCAUCCCAUAACCCCAUCAAUGACCCAAAAAAAAAGGCCUAGAACGUCUGCUAUAGCCUUCUGUUAUAGGCUAAAAUUGUUGUAAAUUAACUAUCAUUUGUUUUUCUAGUGUCAUUUCACUAACUUCUAUGUCUCCCAAAGAGUUUCGCUUCAAGUCGACAAGUUCUCUAUAGUUUCUAGGUAUCUUUUUAAAAAUUAUUCCUAUGGUCUUAUAGAACUUUACCCACCUCAGAAUCGACUUUCGUUUGAUCUUAUGGUCUCAUCUUGCCAACGCUUAGAUAUUUGCAUAGAAUUAGCUCAAAAUUUAACCCCCAGCUCCUUUAACAGUGAAUAUGGCCUUAAAAUGGCCCAAAACAUGUGUUAUAGCCUUCAAUUCUAGGCCCAAACAGUCAUCAAUCCUCAUUGAGGCCUUGAAAUUGACUCUGUUUUGUUCCUAUGGUCUCAUUUCACUAAUAUCUAUAUCUCCCCAAGAGUUUAGCAUCCAUCCAACAAGUCCUCCAUAAUUUUCAGGAAUUUUUUUCAAAUAUUCUGAAGGUCUUAUAAAAACCUCAUAAAGCAUCACUCAGGCCUUGCAAGUGACUUCUGUUUGAUCUAAUGGUUCGCAUUGUCAAUGUCUAUGUACAUGCAACAAAUCAGCUUGAAAUUAAACCCCCAACCCCUUGAACGGCGAACUUGCCCCCAAAAAGGCACAUAGUUAUAUGCCAUGGCCUUUGAUUCUGAGCCUAAAUGGGCGCAAAACCUCAUCCAGGCUUUAGAAUCGACUCCUAUUUUAUCUUGUGAUCUUGUCUUACCAAUGUCUACAUCCAUUCCAAAAAUUAGCUUGAGAUUAAACCCCCAACCCCUUCAAUAGUGAGAACGUCCUUAAAAUGGUCGAGAAUGAUGGCUAUUGCCAUUGGUUUCUGAAACAAUGGGCACAAAACUUCACUUAGGUCUAAGAAUCAAAUUCGAUUUAAUCUUAUGGUCUCAUCUCACAAAAGUCUACGUGCGUGCAAACCGCAAUUCGAAAUUCAGCCCCCAACCCCUUCAAUGAUGAAACGCCCCUAAAAAGACAUAAAAAGUGUACUGUAUCCUUCGAUUUAGGCCCAAAUAAUCGUAAAACCUUAUCCAGGCUUAAAGUCAACUCCUUUUUUUUUUCCUAGGGUCUCAAUUUAUAUGCCUUCUAAAGAGUUUCAUGUCAAUUCGACAAGUUCUCUAAAAUUUUUAGGAAUUUAACUGGUAGGAAAUACAACUUAUAAACAUGUAAAUAAAAACAAUAAACUUUAAAUUCACUUGAGAUAGUAAUUAAAUCCACAAUUCAAAACCUUAAGUUUCACCUUUCACCUUAUCUUAGAAAAUUAGCCACUCAUUUUGGCAAACAAAGCACUCUUUUUAUUUAAUAAAUUUAUGAAAGUACAAUACAAAGAAAUUGAAAAGUAAAGAGAAGAGAAAAAUAUAUUCUUAAACUACAUUUUUCCCUAAAAUUCUCUCUAGAUUUACACUAAAAUUCUUUAUAGAACUUACACCUAAACUCCCUCAUUCAUUUGUGAGCUAUCUUGCUUUUAUAUAGGCAAAUUCUGAUUUGAUGAAGUGUGGGCAUUUACAUAAGAGUUUGGUGAGCUUGCAACCACAACCUUUAUAUGAGCUUUAUUAAUAUAAUCAAAGGGUUUUAAAUUGCAACCAUUAUGAUGCAUUAUGAAAUGUUGGAUUUAACAUAAUCAAUAGCUACAAAUACAAUCAAACCGGGAUAAGGUUUUUGAGUUAGCCCUUCAUUGGAUCUUUUAUCAAGGUGGUUGAAUUAAUAAAUUAAUGUAUGUUAAAUAUAGUGCAUUGAGAUGCAUGUGAGUUCAGACACAUGACACAAUCUCAACCUUUCAAAAGUAAUGUUGAAUCAAAGAACUAACAAUUCUUCCAAAGGUUUUUGAGUCUGCAUAAUCUAAAUUUCAAGUCCCUUUUUCGAUCCAACCAUCAUGAAUUUAGGGAUAUUCUUAUAAAACACAAAAUUAAUACUUACAGCAAAUAAAAUAGAAAAUUCCUAAAAUGAGUUAGGGAUUUGUAAAUAUGAUGAAAUUGUUGGUGUUAUCACACUAUAAGUAAAAAAUGAUUAUUUUAACUUUAAUCAAAUAUAUAUUUUUUAGUGUUAGUCACACUACCAAGGCUAUUAAUUUUUUAAGAUUUUACUAUAGUAUUUAAAAUUUAAGAAAUUAGGCAUCAAGAAUAGUAAAAAUAAUAAUUAAAAAGAUAAUGAAAAUAUGAAUUUUAUUAUUAAAAGUUUAAAUAGAAAUAUGAUAUUAGUAAAAGUUACAAACAAAGAGAGAGAGAGAGAAAUAAAAGAUUUUUUUAAGGAGAAAUAUUUAUUUUUAAUUGGUAAUGUGUCCUUUAAUAUGAAGAUUAAAAAUGUCAUUUUAUUAUAAUUGAUUUAAUUUAACUGCUAUUGAAUUAAAACAGCGCCAUUAGAGGCUAAAUUUAAACUUAAAGAGUAGUACUGAUAUUAGACCAUAGUUCAAGGACAUCUAUGAAAAUGUAAUCAACAACAACAAAAAAUAAUAAUAGUAACCAUCCUGUUAUAAUUUUCUACAGGAAAUACUGACUAAUAAUUUAAGUAAUUAAUAUAAAGCAUAAGGGAGCUAGAUAAAACCACAGAGAAAAUUGAAAUGAUUUCAAAUUAUGUAAAACCGAUGACCCAUAUUAUAGGAAUUUAUGGCUAAUAACAAUUUGCCACGCACGAGGGCAAGUGGAGGCUCAAACUUGGGCAGCUCCAUAGCUAUUUUAAUUUGUCUUAGCUGAUUUCCAAAGUUUACUAGCUAACCAUCAAAUAGUUGUGGUCUUAGCUAAUUAACCACUAUUAGCUAGCCAAUGGGCUGAUGAAGCAAGACAUCAUGCGUACAAGCGGCACAUCGCUGGUGUUAAUCCACUUCUGUGUUUGACCAUUUAGAAUCUGAGAAAAGAAAGAGUUGCAGUCUGAUUAAGGUUAAGAUUAUUAGCUGUAGCUAUUCUUUAGGUAAUAUAAAGUGGUGAAUUGUGCUCUUCCCGUCACUUAUUAUUUUCAUUUAAAAGUAUUGAAUACAAGCACGUAUGGGUGAAUUUUCUGAUUUUCUUUUUCUUUUUCAAGAACCAGUUAAAUAAAAUUAUUUGAAAAUUAAUCAAUUAAGUCCUUAGAGUUACGAACAGAUUUUAAUUAAUCGAUCCUACCAUUGGAUUAAAUAAUUUCAAAUUCCAAUAGAUUUUCUUUUAAAUAGUAUUUAAAAAAAUUCAAGAACUUAAAUGGUUGUUGCCUUUUUUUAAAAAUUAAUAACUGAUGGAAUGGAUAAAAUAUUUUUUAACCUUUUAUUUAAUUUAAAAUCGGGCGAACGCUGUAUAAAUCUGUUUAAAACAGUAGGCAAACAUUAGCAUAAAGUUGAGUUUCUUUUUUUUUGAUAAAUAAAGUUGAGUUUCUUGUGUCCGAAGGAGAAGCGAAUUUUCAACUUGUCGAUUAGCGAAAAGCGAGGAAAGAAAAUAAACCUGAAAGGCCCACUUCAAAACUUAUGCUAGAAGGAGACCCUGUCUCUCCUUCCUACAGUAAAAAUUUAAAAAUUGACGUAAGCUGUCAUUAUAUUUCAUGGUGUAUAUUUAGACAUAUAACUCUAACGAUCAGCUGAGCCAGCCAACACUUGAAAGCAAUUUUAAAUCUUCAGUUAGUAUUGCUUCCCUCAUCUUAUGAUUUUCUUCUUCAAUUUAUUAUAUAUAUUUUCACUUCAGUUGUGCUAUUCGUUAGUCUCGCUACUGAGAUAAAAUUAUCUGCGUGAAUAACUUAAUCUUUGCUAUUUAACUGUGUUCAUUUUAUAUCGAGUUAAUUCGUUUGUAUCAAAAGUUAUCAUAAAUGAUGCAUGAGUAAUUUCAUUUAGUUUUCUUUCCAUCUUUCAUAACUGGCCUAUCAGAUAUCUUUUACAUUUUUUUUUUUUAAAUUUCUAUAGAAUGCUUGUUUUAGUUUGACCUCGGGUUUCUGAUCUGUCUCAUUCAUUUUUCCUUGGUAUUUUUGUUGCUUGUUCAUCAGGCAAUACUGAUUUCAUUUCACAUGAUUAUGUACAUACUAAUUAUUCCUGGUUUGGUUUAAGGUAGUGCGAAUUUAAUAUUAUCACCAUGGCUUACAUUCCACCACAUAAACGGCAUUCAGAGUACCCCCUGAUGCCAUCUCCACCGCCGGUGAUGCCUGUGCCUAAAUUCAACAGAAAAUUAAACCUGGGAUCACCCAGGCAUAAUGCAGACAUGGGUGCGAAAAUCGUGUAUGCAGAUAUUACCGCAUACAGGUGGCUUGCUGUUGGCUCAGAUGAUGAUAUCUGCUUUCCUUCUUCUGUCCAUCUUCAGCCGUUUUCAUUGGAGCAUGCUCACCCUAAAAGAGGAGCAAAGUCCUUCGUUUUGGCGAACAAUAAUCUGGCUAAAGGUCAGUGGUCUGCAUUUUUUGUUUUUAUCUUAAUAUGUUCUACUCUUGCUCUUGAUUUAUGUCUGGUGUUGACUUCAGUUACGUUGACAUUUGGCUUUUUGGUUGGUAGAUAAUGAUGAAGUGAGAGAGAAUAUACCAAGAAGUCCAUGGGAAUCGAUAGCAGAAGAUGUAUGGCCAGAUGUAUUGAGUGCUUGUAAGAUUGUCAACAACGAAAUGGAGGAAAAGCCAAGAUUGGUCGCUAGAUUUGGCCAUGUUGUCUUCCUUGGGUAUGAGAUCUUAUUCCAUUGCUGUUACAGCUUGGAUGUGUUGUGUGUUAGAUCAUUCCACUCCUUUCUUUCGACUUUGAAAUUAAAGCAACGAAAAUGCUACAUGUAUCAAAUAUUUCCAUUAUUCAGUCACAUCUUUGAAGCCUCCACUAGUUUUCAUAUUAAAACUGCCACAAAAAAAAUAAUUAUUUUAUCAUUCAUUCGGAAGCAGGGACAAUUCACUGGGCUUAGAAAGUGUAAGAGAAGGUCAGGUUGCUGAAGAAACGAUUUUGAGGCAAUUGACCAAAUUCUUUUACAAUGAUGUCCCUGCUACAUACGCUGAAAAAAUAAUAAAUGAAGUUGUGCCAAAAAUUGGAGUUGAUUUUGAAGAGUACGAGGAUGUAUACCGCAUCAUGGUCGUUCUUCUGAUACUCACUUCAGUAUUCAUGAUCAAGUUCCUUUUAUCUCUCACUUAACUAUCCAUUGAUUUUUUUUUUCCCCCUCCUUCUUGUGUAGCUGUCUGACACCAAGCGACCAAACUUAUCCAUUUCAUGCAGAUGUACUGUUAAAGAAGAUAAAACGCUUGAGCUCUAUAAGGCAAGUGCUCUGCUCCUGGCCAACUAUUAGUUAUGGACAAUGCAUUGAAUCUUGUGUGUGUUGCCUUCACUUUAAAGAAGAAUUUUGCUAGUUCAAACAUUGCAACAAGACUUCUGAUGUUUUGAAUUAAAUAGAUGACUGUUUGAAUAUAAUCUAGUCACUGUGAAUUAUGAAGGAGAUAUCGAAAUAAAAGCAAUAAAGAUUACGAAAGAGACCUAAGAAGGAUAGAAACCUGUGUGUCUCACUAACACCUUUUAGAAGUCUUUCCAGGAAUAAUAUCAAUAGAAAGGAAAAGAAUUUAAAAUGGAAAAUAAGAAGAAAAUUAUAAUGAAAUACGACUAAUUCUACAUCCGAUUGAGGAAUAGGCUUGUUGAUUCUACAAGGAAAGACCUAAUAAUUAUUAUAAACCAAUUAAAAUUUGAAUUUAGUGGUAACUUGUAAUUGAAUGUCUAAACCAACAAACUAUGCAUAACAUUACAGAUGAGACUCUUAAAUUACAAAAUGCUGCUGACAGUGAACAAAAUCGAACAUGCCAAUCUUCAGGAAUUCCUUUCGGCAUCAUGGGAUUUAGAUCUCAGUAAUCUUUUUUAUUGGAAUAUGGAGACGUCCUAUCAAGUAACUCGUGGCAGUCGUUUAUUUAUUUUAUCUUUGACAGUGCCACUCUUUCCCUUUCAGUCAUGAUGUAUCUAUUAUUUCCUUAUUUAUUGGUAUCGUCUGUGUAGUCUUAUCCUAAAUAUGAAUAUUUUUCUUGUAGGUCUAUGUAGACCCACUUCGUCACCUGGUAGUAAACAUAUCGUCCAUUGAUAAAAACCUAGACCUGAGGUUGGCUCUUCGUUCAAAGAAAACCUUUGCUGCUGUCUCUGUAAGUUAAUCUGCUACUUUGCAUGUGUUUUAGCUAGACUUUUGAGUUACCCCUUUUUUUUGCCCUUUUCUUUCAUCUGGUCAUUGCUGAUUAGAACCACAUCAUCACAAACGCUAAGGAAGGCACAUUCAAGUCUGGGGAAUAUAAGAGAAUUCUCAUCAUUACUUCGAAGGUUUACUUUCAAAUGGUUGAGAAAUAUAUAUAUGCUUAAAAUCGGUUAAACUUUAGUCGUGCAUGCCCCUUUUCGCUCAGUAUUGACAUCAACAAAUCGUCAGUAGUAAUCCUAAUUCUUGAGGAUUAUUAUUUUUUCCUUGAAAUCGGAAACUUUACUAAUGCUAACAAUGGAGUAAUAGAUAAAUCAUUAUAUUUUCAAAAUUACCAUCAUUUAGACUUAAAACAAAAGUUAAAUAGAAGUUUUUUGUUGUUGUUGGGGUGUGUGUGUGUGCAUUUUUAAUCUAUUUUGAAGAAUGUAAAUUUUGAUUUCAUAUUCCUGAUGCCAAUUUGAGUUGUAAGCCAAAAACAAUAGAGGUUGAAUAUGUAUUGACCAUAUAUUAUAUUUUCUAUGUAAUCCCUGCAAAUGAAUUUUAUGAUCAUACUGAAUUUUUUAAAUGAAUUUUAGGACGACGAAAUGAACAGCAUUAGAAAUCUGAUUGAUUUAGCCAUUCUGGAUCCGAAGGUAAAGGGUGGGUUAAGAUGGCCCAUGGGGAAGUCAUAUUGGGGGGAUAGAUACAGAGUUAUUGGGGUUCAGCACACUGAAACUAAAUCAUAUAAAAGCCCAUCACUAAGGCUCAAGAUCAGGCAUGCUGAUCGAUUUCGUUUCAAGACGGCAACUGGGGAAACUGCGAUUGAGAUUAGUCUUGAGUUGAGAAGUAUAGUUUCAGAGAUUCAGGUAUUUGCUGCUUUAAUUUUGCUUUAACUUAUAUCACUUAACCUGAUAUCUUUGUAUAUGACUACAUAGAGCUUGAAUUUCUUGCUGUUAAAUCUUAAUAUUAAAAAUAAUUUAUCUUCAUACGUCUCUUAUUGAAGUUGUAUUUUGUGCCGUAAUUAUACUUUAUUUUUCAAAUUUUACUAUUAGUUGAUGCUGAUUGGGUCUUUCCUUCGAGAUUGCUCUAGAGAGAGAGAGAGAGAGACAGCAAUAUGCUAAUAGAUCAUCUUCACUUAACUCUUUUUAGUGUUUAUACAGUUGUCCCUUUCUGUUAGCAUAUUUAUUCUGUCGGAGGUAACAAAUGACUUUUUACCUAUUGCCGAUCUUGGAGUAAAUUUGAUUUCAAUACUGAGCUUCCUGCUUCUGACUUAUACGCUUGUCUUACACUUUGGUUUUGCAAUCACCAUUGAUCGAAGAGUGGCUAGAGUUUGUUAAUUGCUUCAAUUCCACGAUUAGUGUAUGGAAACAUAAAAUUUCAGUUGCUAUAACUCUGAUUGCUUUUGCACAUUAUUUCCUAUAUAUCUUUGUCUCCAUGCUCAUACUAAAUAAGUGUUGUAUUUGAUAACUUUCGUCUUUCAUUAAUAUAUGCUUGUUACUUUUUAUAUCAAUUGUCAGGACGGGAAGAUUGAUGCUGAUUCCAUCUACAAUGGAUUUAAGGACUACUUGAGGUUAAUAUGGGACCAUUUCUUGGCAUGCUAACAACGUUUCGCAUUAAAAAAAGAUUGCAAGCUCUCCCUUACGCUGUUCAUAUUUGCGUUUGUUUGCAUCUUCUAUUUGUUGCAAGAAUAAGAAAUAUGUAAAUUCAAACAUGAAAGAUGUGAAAGCAGCCCCAAACUGCCAUUAGAACCCCUCAAAAUUUUUCCAUUUUUUUGCAUUGUUGUUUUGGGAUACUGUUGCUGAGUUAGUGUGUUGUUGUUUUUGAUCUUUUUUGUUGUUUCUAGGUUAUUUUGCUGCUAUUUUUUAGAUUUCAUUUCUUGUUGUUUUUGGCUGUUGUUCUCGGGUCAUUUAUUGCCUUUUCUAUUUUGACCUGCUGCUAUUUAUGGGUUAAUUGUUUGCUGUUUUUGAGUUUGAUUUCCUACUGUUUUUUAUUUUAAUGCAGUUUUUUUUUUUUAAUCUGCUGUUUCUGUGCCAAUUUACUACAAUCUUCUUUUAUCUAUUGUUAGGAAUGGCAAUGUCUAGGAUUUAACUCAAGAUCUAUGUGAUCCAAAUCCGAUUUGGAUCGAUCUAAAAUUGACUUGGAUUGAAUUUAAAUAUCGAUGCGCUAAUAUAAGACAGAUCUGAAGCAUGCUUGAAUCUAUUUUAAUAUCUAGAUUUAGAUACAUAUCUUUUUCCUUUUAAUUUAAUUCAUAGCAUAUUAGUAGUUUUUAGUAUGUAUUUAAAAAUCUCAAAACUUAAAGACUUGGUUUUGUAAGUUUAAAUGAAAAUUAGACAAAAAUAACUAAGGGUAAAGUAAAAUUGGUGCAACCGGCCCUAAUUUUUUUUUAAGUCUUUCACUCUCCUAUUCAACCUCUUUUUUUCUUUUCAGUCUAUUAUUACUUCUCCACUCUAUUUGAAUACUUAAGUCAAUCCUUUAAUUACCAAGUAAAUCUUUAGACUUGAUUUUCCUUUUCUGUUAUUUUCUCAUAACAUUAUUUAUGUUGUGUAAUCAUUAAUUAGUGAUAUUAUGUUAUUCAUAUAUUUAAUUAAAUAUGGUCAUAAUAAAAAUAAAAAGCACUGAAUAUAAAUUCUCAUAACAUUAUUUAUGUCGUAUGAUUGAUGAUGGGUGUGUCGUAGAUAUCAGGAUGAUAAAGAAAACAUUAGAAUAUUACAUUGAUUUUAUUCCUACAAUUAUUUUUUAUGGAUAUUUUAUUAUUUUUCUUAUUUGUUUGUUUUGGUAUAAAAGCAUAAGCUACAAUAUUUUAUUAGAUUUUUAAGACAAAUUAUAUAAUUUAAAUGUUAUCAAUACAGUUUAGUCUUUAAAUUUUCUUUUUUAAAAAUUAUUACUCCUUUAAUAUUGAGUUUUAGAAUUCAUAACUGAUUUAGAGUAAUUUUGGUUUAUUUAUUUAUUUUUUUGGAUCUAGAUAUGAAAAAAUAUGGAUCCAUGACGGAUCUGGAGCAAAUACGAAUCUCAAUUUUUAUUAUAAAUUUAGAUCUACAAUAGAGUAGAUCCAACCUAACAUACCUAUUGCCAUCCCAAGCAAUUGUUCAUAUAUAAAUUUUGUACUACUUUUGGGCUUCAUUUUCUUCUAUUUUGGGACUUGAUUUCCUACUAUUUUUUGGCUUAAUUUGCUACUAUUUUUGGUUUACUUUUAUGCUAUUUUUGGCUUUUUUUUUCUGUUUUUUGCUUUGAGUUAGCAGCUUUUUUUGCUUUGAUUUGUUGAUGUCUUUGAGUUAAUUUUCUAGUAAUUUUGGGUGUAGGCAUCCUUUUCCCUAAAUUGAUGUGAUAAUAUACAAAUCUAAUUAAUUUCUCAGGUUAAAAAAAUUCAAUUAUCCUGUUGAACAAGAGAAUUGAUUAAUUGAAUUAAUUAGUAACCUGUUACAAGUUUGUAUUUUUUUUUCACAAGAGCAUAUUUAAUGGCUUAAGCUAUUUUACCUUAAAAACUCAGGCUUGUGGCAAGAAUGGCAAUGCGACCGUUGGUAUGGCAAUACCCGAAUGCGGCCUGGACAUUGACAAUUUUAUAAUUUUUAAAUUUUAUUUAACUAAAUUAAACUUGAAAAUAUGGGCUUUAAAUGUUUAAACCGGGGGAGGAAAAGAAAAGGUUGUGAGUAUUUGGAAUGUAUUGCAUAAAACAUAAAAUAAAAUACACGAACAUUUAAAUAUUAAAGAUAAGACAAAAAUUAUAAAACAUGAAUUAAUUUUUUGUGACUUUGUGGACGUUCGUUUUAUUUUAUAUUUCAUAAUAUUUAUAGUAAAAAUUAAUUUAGUGACAUACUUUAAAUGAGUCGGGAUCCACUUGUUGUAUUUGGAAGAAAAGUUUUUUUUUUUUAUCUUCUAUUGUUGUCACUUUAUUUCUGACUCGGUUAUAGGAGGUUUACGGCUUUUAUCCUCGGGAAGAAAAUAAAGUUGCCAAUCUCUAGCCUUUCCUUUCUUAAAUAAGGUGCUGAGUGAUUGCGUAAUUGCCAAUUGAAGUAGGUUUUGCAUAUAUAUAUAUUUUUUUAAAAUUUUGAAGUACUUAAAUUUUUCUUUUAAUAGUUCUUCACUAGGACUAGGGAAUUAAUGAAGAGAUAGAAAUCUUGAAUGGAUAGUUAAUUCAAACAUAACUGAUUUGGAUGAUGCAUUUAUAUAGCAUCAGCUUGCAAUUACCUUAGUCCUUCACUCUUACGCAAUUGAUUGGAUUCCUUAUCUAAGUUAUUUAAGGAGAAGAUGGAGGAGGCUAUUGGAUUUGGAGGGAGUGAUUAACUAAAUGCAGAAGUGGAGGAAGUAUCACCAACAAAAAAAAAAAAAAAAACUUCUAAUUUAACUCUUUAAAUAUUUAUUUAUUUGUUUAUGUGAUAAGUAGAAGAGUGGUAAAAAAAAUCAUCUCCUAAAAAAUUCUUCAAAUAAAAAAAAAGUAUAUAUUAUUUUAAUCAAACUUCUUUCUAUACAAAAGUAAUAAUAAUUAUGACUCUUCUUUUUUUUCACGAAUUAUGAGAUAAAAAAUAAUAUAAUACUAAAUUAAAGGCUCCAAAUGGGAUAAUGUUUCUCUCUCAGGUUGAUAACUUGAUGACUUAGUGAUUUAAAAUUUUUAUUAAGAUAAAAAAAAAACGGAUUUAAUGAAUUAACAUAUUAAAAUUAAGUCAAUUAAGUCAUUAAGUCGAAAAAAAAAAAGAAACAGACCCUUAGUUGGAAUAUUUAGUUUAUAUUCCAACAAAAGCGAUAAAUGAUGUACCACUAUCUAAUUGAUUCAAGUAACGAAAAAUUAUUAAGCUUUAUUAUUUUUAAUUCAAAUGAUAAAUUUUUACUGUUCUAACUAAAGUGGCAUUUGUUUUUUUGUUUGAAAUCUGAAUUAAUUUAAAUUAUGAAUAGAGAUGAAUGCCUGAAUCUAAAUCAUAUUGAAAUUAAGCUUAAUAACUUAAAGAUUUAAUGGCUGGAACUUUUCAUUAAGUUGAAAAAUAAACAGAUUUUAUAAUUUAUCUAAUUAAAAUUAAGUUAAUUAAGUUUUUAAGUCAAAAAUAAAUAAAUAAAAGGCCUAAGUAAGCAUAUCGCUCUUAAAUUAAUCACAAAAAUUUUGAACUUAGGCGACAAAAAGAAAUUAAAAAGGAUGCAAUUGAUUGGUUGAUUGUUAAUUUAUAAAAAACAUGAUUUUUAUAUUUUAUAGGAACAUAUAGGAGAUUCUAAUUGCAACGAGGAAGAGAAAAAAAUCUUUAAAAAAAAUUAUUUUAAGUUAUUUGGUCAACAAAAGCAAACCUUAAAUUAUGUAUUUAUUAUUUCAAAUUUAGAUUCAGAAUUGAACCGGCAUCUGUACUAAUCUUUUAAAAUGAUGUUAUUGAUAAUUAUUAAAUAAAAAUAUUAGACUAAAUAAAUUUAAAUUAUUUAGUUAAAUGAUUCUAUUUAAAUUAUAUAUAACAUGUGGUAGAAGUGGGUACAUAUCAACCAAAUCGAAAACAGAAUUUAAAAACAUUUUUCUAUUUCCUAAUUUUAAAGCACGGAAGACUGAACAUUCUUCAACUGAACUCCUGUUCCUCUUCUCAGUUGUUCAUAAUUUGCAACAAUGAUUACGAAACCAAAUCUAAUAACAGCCAAUCCCUCACACUCACUCACUCCAUUUCUCAAAUUUGAAUCCAGAAUUCCGAUUUAUUUCCCCAAACCGUCAAUUUCUCAUUCCAAAUUCAUCUCUUUAACCUCCAAAAAGCAUUCCUUUUUGGUCCCAUUUUGCUGUUUCAAUCCCACGAAACCCCACAACUCCAGUGAGCUUUUAAACCGCGUUUCGGAGAAUUCGGUUCCUGAAGAAGGGGAAUUGAAGACGGAUUACAACGUGCAAGUGGCAACUGCAAAUGUUCCCUCGGGUCUUCCGCCAGCUAAACUCAGCUUGAGUGAUCAAGCUUUCUUUUUGUUAGCUUUUAUUGCUUGAUGGUUAUGUCUAUUUUUGUGUAAGUUUAUGAGGGUUUUUUUUUUACUCUCUUAUUUUGUUCUGUUUAGUAGCUUUACAGUAUUGUAUUUGUUGAUGGUUUGUUUUGUGAAGCUGUAUGUAAAUUUGAACAAAAUGGUAGUAUGGGGCAUGGCAACAAAUGGUGAUUAUAUCAGGCUUUGGAUAUGGUUUUGUGGGUUUUAUUGUAUUUGAGAGCUUAAUGGUUUGGGAUUGUUUGUCGAUAGUUUUCGAAUCAAACUGCUGUCUGGACCUGCAAAUUUAGGAGAAUAUUUGGGGAUUAGGUGGUAAAGGCCUGAAUUCAUUGGUGGGUAAUUUCUCUUGUGUUUUUGUGGGUUUUCGAGUAAUUUGGAUCGAUCUCAUAAGCUAAUUUGCUGAUUACAAAUAUAGUUUGUGAACUAGUUAGGAGAAUAUUUGGGGAUGACAUUGAGGUAAUUAAUGGGAUAAUGUUGUGAAUUCUUUUAACUGAAAAUUCUUUAUCUUUAAGUUCUUUGAACACUGAAAUGGUGUUGUUAGGUUUGGAUUUCUUUGAGUUGGAAAAUUUUAAAUAUGAUUAUCCACCUUUGGUUGUUGAUUAUUAGUCUUGGCUAUUUGGUUUGAUACUCAUGGAAUAAGUCAGUUUGUUUGCCUGCAGACUUCUGUGGCUUUUACAAGUCUUGUUGUUGCGGCCAUCCCAGCACUUUAUGUAAGUGUGGUCUAUUAUAUGAACUCUGCAUGAAAUGGUACUUGAUUCAUUUUUUUGUAGUCUCUUCUAUUUUCAUUUGUAUUGCUCAAUUUAAUUUGGAAAUGACUGUGCCACGGGUUUUAUAAUGUUGUAUAAAAUCACGACUUUAAUAGAUCCAUGUGCCUCUCACCUGAAUUGAAUCUUUCAAGCUUUCGCCUGGUAUAAGCUUCAAUCAUGUAUUACAGAUUGGUUGGAAUUGGAAGGUUAGUUUGUGAUAAUUGCCCAGAUUCCUGCUGGUUGGUUUUAUGAUUUGUUUGUGUUCUGGCUGGCCUAGGGAUCUGAUAAUCAUGCAGAAGAAACAAACUUAGCAUAUAAAAAUUGGUCAUUUUCUGUGCGUCCAAACAAUGAAAUUUCAAUGUGUUAGAAUAUGAUUUUGGUCAGAUGGGGUAUUGUUAUGUCAUUUCCCUGCCGAUUUAGUAGAUAAAAUAAUAAACUCUAGAUGCAUUACUGCCACGGACAACAAUGGUGGGGUUCUGGAACCAAAGCGCUUAUCUUUCUCAUCUAUGGUAACCAAUUUAAAGGGAGUAGUGCUUGUAGGUCAUUGAUGUUUCAUUCCUGCAUACACUUUGGGGAGUAUCUUGAGGUUCUUGAAAGUGACAACUCUUUGUAAUGUCAUGUUGCCUAUUGCAGCACAUCUGUUUAUUAGUGAAAUAAUACAUGGCAGUUUCACAUUUCUGAUUCAAUGAGAAAUUUUGGUAAGUGACUUAAAUAAUGCUCUGCAAUUUAAUACCCAUCAGUAAUUGGACAUUCACGAUGGUUAUAGAAUUCAUAAGGCUUUGUAAAUCUGUCCACUGUAGGUUCAUGGAAUUAUUGACCUUUUAUCUGAUUCUCUUUGAUACUACUGGAUCAUCUGUAGGAGUGCAUUUAUUCUUUUUUCAUUUCCUGUUUGGCUUCUUAUCUUUUUUUGUUUUUUUUUCCUUCUUUGAUAAAAACUGUAAAUUGUAUUGAAGAUGAAGAAUUGUUACAAGGAGUUGACCAGCUGUCCAUUAAGAAAGCGAAAUAAUGAAAACUUUUCUGUGCUAUUAAAAAAAAUGCCAUCUCCCCUCUACAAAACUAGACCAGCCUAGACACUUAUCUCAAAACAUUCUCCCAGCUUAGAUGAAUCUUCGAACUCCUUAGAAACUGAAGCCCACAGUGAAGCUAGAAGACGAACUCUAUCCUACAAUUCUCAAUGUUACUGUAUUUUUCCCUUCAAAAUACGAAGAUUUCUUUCCUGCCACAUUGCCCAAAAAAGAGCUGCCACAGCAGAGUUCCAAAGAAUUUUGGCCUUUUUUCCUUUACCAAAAGCAAACGAAUUCUUCGUAACAAUAGAGUCACAACAACCCGGUAUGACCCACAAAAUGCUAGCCUCUUUGGAUAACCUACUCCACAACUUAGGGGCCACAAAACAAUGAAGAAAAAGAUGAUUAGAAGUUUCAGCACUUGUUUUGCACAUCUCACACCAUGAUGGGGAUAGACACAUAUUAGGGAACUUUCUUUGACUCACUUCUCCAGAAUUUGAUUUUCCUUGUGCCUUUCCCACAAAAAGACUUGAAUAUUAGGGGAAGUACUAGCCUUCCAAAUCGAUUUGGAGGGUAAAAAUUUGGCCAAGGAGACAUCAUUAAUCAUCCAGUUCAGAUAAAAUUUGCAAGAAUAAUGUCCUGAUGUCUCCAAACUCCACAAUCUUCUGUUUUUUUUCAUUUCUUCAAUAGCUACAUUGUCUAACCACCGCAAGAGAGAAGUGUAAUCUUGAAUCUCUCUUAUCACUUGAGUUUCUUUUGAAGUUGAAAUUCCAAUGCCAAUUCAACGAGGAGGAAGAAGAUGCACAUAAAUUUAUAGGAACAUUUCUUGUAAGACAGAACCUAUAGAGGCGAGGGAACAUAAAGAAAAUCUCGUAACUGUUUAUCCUUCCAAAACUGAAUAUCCUUACCAUUCCCCACAGUUAGUUUAAUGUGAGAAAGAAGAGAGGGAUGUUCAUUUUUGACUCCUUAUCUUUAAUGAUUAUAAAAUUUUCAUCAGACAUUAAAUUCUUGUUAUGUAGUUGAAUUAUCAGGUGUAAUUUGUUUCUAACAAUGGGUUCUAUUUGUCUGUUUUGUCAUCUUUUUUUAGGCUAUGGGUAGAGCAGCAACAUCUCUUUCAAAGCUAGCAGAUACAGCCCGGGAAGAACUUCCCAGUACAAUGGCUGCCAUUAGGCUUUCAGGAAUGGAGAUCAGUGAUCUUACACUGGAAUUGAGUGACUUGAGGUGACAACUAAAAUCCUAAAGAUUUAACUAAAUUGUUUGUGUCCAUACAUUCAUAAAUGUGAUUACUUUAAUUGUCAUGCUGUCUUUUCUGAUUUUGAAUUUUAAAUGUCACCCAGUCAAGAGAUAGCUGAUGGGGUUAACAAAUCAGCCCAAGCAGUGCAGGCAGCAGAAGCUGGAAUCCGACAGAUUGGUACACUUGCUCACCAACAGACUAUCUGUAAGUUUCGAACUGUUUUUCAUCGCUUUAAACCCCCACCCCACCCCCCCAAAAAAAAAAAAACAAAAACCCUCUCUAACUAUUAAAAAUUAUUGUCAUUCUCCAUUCGUUUACCAGGACUGAUUUUCUGCGACUGUUUGUAUGAUUUAGCAAUUAUUCAAGAGCGGGCAAGUCUACCCAUCAUCUCUUUGCAACCUGUAGUUGCUGGGGCUGCAAAGAAGACUUCUCAUGCUGUUGGCCAAGCUACAAAAACCCUCAUGAAUAUGAUUUCCAGAGGUGAGUUAAGUUCAGAGAAUGAGGAUGACAGCGAAAUUGAUCGGGUAGAAAUCUGAGAAGUAAUCUGCUUCCCAGCUCCAUUACCUAAUUGCUGCGCAUGUACAUAAAAGAGUAGAGAGGCUGUGGUAUCUGCGGCAGCCCAUAUGGUUGACUGUCAGUGCCCAUAAAUUUGGAUAUCAAGAAAUAUGAACGCAUUGCAAAGCUCCAGUUUGAUCUAUCUACAUUUUGAAAUGCAGAACAUCCUUAGAUUUCCAAUUAAAAAUUCCAUUGAAUUAUAUCAAUUUUCAAAUUAAUUUUUUUGUCAGAAUUUUUUUUUUUUUUUAAAUGGAAUCCAAUGUUCACAUUUUAGAUUCCACAUUUUAACAAAAUAAAUUGCAAGAAGGGCGGUAGAACUGAAGUUUUCUGGGUGAUAUCGGAGGUCCAAGAUCUAGCUAAGGGAUUUUGUAAAGUUAAAGUACAAUAUAUUCCAAGACAUUGUAAUGUCCAUGCCCGCUCUUUAACUAAAUUAGCCUUGAAUAUGAUGAGUCUGUUGGAUGGAUGGGUACAUUCCCAGACAACAUUAUGUAUCUUCUUCAAUCUCUAAAUGAAUGAAGGUUAUAAUUCCUUAUUAAAAAAAAAAAAAAUUAUUCGAUUGGUCAUCUUAAAUCCAAUCCAACAAUAUUUGAACUAAGAAUCACACAACAAGGCACGAUUUAUACCAGACUGAUUAUCGGGGUAACAGAAUUUAUUUAGCACAUUAUUAUUAUUUUAACCUUUAGCUGACAUUAAUUGGGAGCAUAUUGCUCAAUUGGCAAUAAAUGAGUUGCAGAGGCCUGUACAUAAAAAUGCUGUAACCAUCAAAAUUUUACAGUGUUUUUAAUUGUUGAAACACUUUAGUAUUAAAAAUUCUUAGAUGGCAAGUCAAUUACUUUCUUGAUUUAAGAGGAGCCUGAUCAUAUAAAUAAAAACCCAAUGAUUUCGACCUUAUAUUAGACCGGCUUAUAUCAUGAUCUCAGCUUCUUUAAAUGUUUCAAUUUAACUUCCUUUUUAGAUACGUAUAAAACUCCAUAAAAUUUCACUGCCUCUUUGGUAAAUAAAUUUUCUUCUUGAAUAUCUUCAAGCUAGCUUUUGGUAGUAAAAACAUAAAUAAAUAAAAUAACUGAAUGAUUGAUUAUUUUGGGACACACUUAAAAAUUAUAAGUAGAUAUUGAGAACUGAGAAAUUUUUCUUCUUAUUCUUCUUGCACCAUUUGACUCUUUUGACUACCAUAUCUGUUCAAUUUCGUUCAUUCAUCUCAACAUGAUCCUUCGCUGCAAUUAAUUUAUAUAAUAAAUUAGAAAGAAAUAAAAGUAUACCGGAUAUUAUUUUGAUUAUUAACUUGAGUUGUCACCACAAGUAAACUGGAACUUACAUAGAUGUAAAUAUGAUACCAAACACAAUAUUAUAUAAAAGAGGAACUUAUAUAUUGUACUGUUUCACAUUUCUCAAUCUUAAAUUAAUCCUUUGUCCCAUCCAUGAAAAUUAGAAGACAUAAUUAAACCACAGCAUGCAUGGAUUUUUUUUAUCAGACAUUCGCGUUUAAUUCCAAGCUCCUUCGUUGAAACAAAACCUUCAUCUGUCAGUUGGUUUGAAGAUCUGUAGGUUGAUUAUUGUCUUUUGUGUAAGCUUUGUCAUCUUCAGUCAAGUUCAUUUUCAUUUCUGUACACUCUUGCUGCUUUUGAUUUGAUUCAUUGCCCUUCUUGCCCUUGUAUACGAGGUAUAGGAUCAUUUGGGCAAUCCCAAAUAAAAAUCCUAAGACGUUUGGUAACUGACCAUCCAAAAUUAAGCAACAAGAAUGCUAUGAGCAAUUAAUAUGAUUGGGAAACAAGAAAAAGAAACCGUAUCAAAUUUACGUACUUGAAUUUUAAAACCCGUUGAAACCCCCCGGUGUUUAAAUUUUUACAGCCAAAUCAUUUUCAGCAAACGUUAUUUAUUCUGUCUUUUAAAAUCUUAUAAAAUUAUGUUUCUUUUGUUGGAAAUUUGAGGGAAGUGCUGCCCUUAGAAAAAGUGAAUUGGCUGUUACAGAUUUAACGCCAGGGGGGUUUCAAUCAUUUUCUCAUCAAACAAACAAUCAACGAUAUUGUUAGCCAUACUUACAGCAAUGACCAUGUCCUUGACAAAAAGUCCGUAAAAGAACCACAUGGUGGCGCAGAGGGUGAGGAAAAAUGAAAGAGAAAAUGGCAUAUACUCAACACUCUUGGUCUUAAUCACCCGCCUCUGCAACAUAAAUCAAGUUCAUAAUUUUGAUAUUAAAGACAACUAUAUCUUAUUUAAUUGUGCUAGCUUCAAUAAUUAAGAAUUAAUUGUUACCAUGAUGCUUAAAGGAGCAGAGAACACAGCAACGUUGUAGACAGCGCAGACACAACCAACGGCAGUGACUCGAUUAGGCCCCUUUACGAAAAAAUUGACGAUCACCAUCAUCAAGGCAAAGGCUCCAACGUUAAACACGAGUAUCAACUUGAUUGUGAAACUCUGCAUGCAGGGUUAAAAUGUAUGUUUGAUGAUCAGGACAAGAUCCAUAUACACAUAUAGUUAUUAAAUGUGAUUAAGAUAUAAUAACAAAGGUGAUUAUUAAUUAAUUAAUUGACCUUCUGCUUUUGGGGUGCGUAUAUGAGGUAGAGCAUUAGGUAAAUAACUUCUAUAACACAUCCAAUGCUGUUGAUGGUGAUGAUCAAGACUGCAUUUGACUUAAGUAAGCCGUAGUACAAUAACAACGUUGCACUGCUAAGUGCUAUCACGUAUGGUAUUGAAUGGUAUCCUUCCGAUGAUUUCUUCUUGUAGAUUAUGAGGAAAGUGGGCCUGAGAUACAUAUAUAUAGCUUUGAAAAUCAAUCGUUGUCAGUUUAAUUAUAUAAGAUCAAAUUGAGGGCUCGACUCUUACACUGGGGCCAAGAACACCAAGAAUGACACUAUGUUACCUGUGAUAGGAAGACAAGAAAACUAAAGGUGUAUCAAGCUACUAUCAUCAGUUAAUUAAUUAAAAAUAGAAAAUAUAGGGGACAAGGAGGGGAGGAAAAAGAAAAAAGGUUAGGGCACAAGUGACAUGCCUAAGAGACCAAAAAUGAAAGCCAGCUGAUGCGGAGUAAGGAUCCCCAUGAUUGUACGUUGUGGUGGAGGUGAUGAUAAAGAAUAUUACAGUGUGUUUUGGCGAAGCUCUCCGCGCCGUCGAAGGGGGGAAAUGCACUUUGAAGAGCUUAACCCAAUUCAUUGCAAGACACUGAUUUAUACAAACAUGAUUGGAGAGUUAGGUUGCUGGUUCGGUUAGUUAUUAGCUUGUUCUAGAAUAUGUACGUGAUGUAAAAAGAGAGCGAGAGAGAGAGAUUGAAUGCACAUGAUAUUUUUUGCAUGGUAAUUAAAGUCGAAGGAGCUAGCAGACAGAGUUGACAACCAUAGACUCAUGAUUCGAGCGUACGUGCUAUCCAGUUCCUGCCUCGAUCCAGGAGGGUGCUCUUGGAGCUUUGGUUCUUUUUUAUUCAUCCAUUGUCAUGUAUAUAUAUUUUUUUUUGUCUUAUUCACGAGGUAUCCUGGGGAGGGCCCCAACUGUAGGAGGCACCUUUAAGCCCGUACCACAACCCAGACUAGAAGUCCCCGCUCGAACCGGGAGGCACAGGUUCUCCCAACAAAGGCGACUUCCCUGCUACUCAAACUGGGGAGCAAACCCAGUCAAGCCACUUAAGGGGACUCUAUUGCCAGUAGAGCCAACACUUUGUUGGUUGUCAUGUAUAUAUUUCAAUCAAUCAUGAUGAUAUGCAAACUAAUAUAUAUGGUAAAUAAUAAAUGAAUAAGAAGUAAUGCCCUAAGCUUUAAGAAUUAUUAUGGAUUUCAUGAGUAAAAAUUACACAAUAGGAAAGAUUUUAUGGGUGACGAUUUUUAUAGAAAGGUAAUUGUUCCUAAUCUAAAAUUUAAUUAAAUUAGUACUUCAAGCAAAUAACAAAAUAAAUUGUUCUCAAUUUUUCAGCAGCAAAAUCAGGAAGAUUGACAGUGUUUAAAUAUGGAACACCUUCACUGAAAACUGAGUAAUAAUAAAAUAUAUGAGUUGGAAAAAAAUGUUAAAAGACUAAAAUUAUAAUUUUUUUUGUAAUUACUAAUUUUAAUUGAUUUUAUAGUUGAAUUUAUUGGGAAAAAAAAAAUAAACGAUCUAUAUAAGUAUAACUAAAUGGAGACCUAGUAAGUCUUACUUCUCAACAAGCAAAGCUAUUGCAAUAUCAAUGGAAAGGUACAUUGGAAUUUGGAACAUAGAUUGAAUAAAUAUAGUACCACUUUUGCAGAUUAUUUUUUGUUAGAGCCAAUCAGAAUUGACAAAUGCCACAGGGCGUCCCAACUUUUCUUUUCUUUUUUUCUUUUCUUGAAUGGAUCACAACGCAACCAAAAGGUUAAAAAUCUUACUAGGAUAGAAAAGCAAAUGUAAGAAAUUAAUUACUAAAAUGAUAAAACUUUUUUUUUCUCAUUUUUUCUUUUAUAUUUUCUUUCUUGUCCAUUCACUUUAAACUACAAGGAUAGAAAUAAAGUAGUUCGCUACUGCUGGUAAGCACAUCAAAGGUAUGUUUGUCGUUGCCCUCCUCCAUUGUCAGAAGGGUUGCAUGGCUAGUGGCGUGGCCAUCACUAGGAAUGUGAUUUGGUGACGAAAGUGUUAGGAAUUUUUAUCGUACCUAUGAUCUUAUAAGCAGAAAUAUCGAACAAAUAAUAAAUAAAAAUAUACACAAAAAAUAAAAUAAAAUCAAUCACACAAUAUAAAUUUUUUUUUGAAAAAUUCCUAUACCAGAAAAAAAUCACUGUCACUAAGGACAAGAGAAAAAUCAAUUAUGUAAGAAUUUAUCACUGUCGCUCUAGUAUUUUUCUUAAUAGGCCUAACAUUUCUCUCACACUAAAAACAAUCUACUUAACAAGAAAAUUGAGUGAAUAACAAUUGAACUAGACCUCCCUAUCUAUAGUAAUUUUCUUAGAUAAGUAGUAUUCCUUUUUUUAUUAUUCCUUCUUCAAUAAUCUAAAGUUCUAAAAAAGAAAAAAAAUUAUUUAUUCGUCAAAUACGAAUUUUUGUCAAUAAGAAAAUAACCUAAAAAAUCUCCUAAUAAUUAACAUACAAAUCCUUAUUUAAAAAUUGACAUAUUUCCUAAUAUGUAAUGUAGGAUAUGGCUGCUGGUGGUUACAAAACCCAUAGUCCUAAAAUUGUAGGUUUUGCACCUUAUUGUUUAUUAAGUACUUACGCCCAUCAAUUCAAUCCACAGGAGGGGCAUUACGGUCAUUUCUGCAAAUAAUUGCCAGAAUCUACUAUGUAUCAUGAUUUGGGUGUGCAGUGAUGCAUUCAAAAACUAUUUGGCUUGGCCAAUCAGCCUUUGGCCGAGUGGUAGAGCCGCUGCCCACUUUAUUAUGUGAAAGCACUCUCCUCUAGAUAUCUCUUGAAUAUUUGAGAGAGUAAAAAAUGAAAUGAGAGUGGAGUAGACAUACCUCAAAAUUAAGGAGGGGUUAAUUUCCUAAUAAAUAUUGAAUUUUUUUAAAAUAAGAUAUUGAAGUUUGAACCGAGGAUGUAACAAAUUAAUGUGCGGAUGAAGAGUGAGUGAUUAGAAAGCAAUGAUAAUCUAGGCUUGGCUGUAUGAUUUAAUUUUCAACAUCUAUGGAAGAACCACAUAGCUAUAUUGAGACAAAAGUGACAUUAUGUUGCCUCUCGUUAGGCUUACUAAUUUGAAUUUAUCAAUCCACAACGGUUUUAGUAAUCAAAUUAUUAUUUUACUAACAAUCUCUUUGUUGUGUUAGUCAAACACCUCCUCCUCUUAUCCUUUAAAGUGGGAGUGAAGGGUGGGGUGGUUUGUUCUGCUUAGCAUGGGACGCUACAAAUAUCCUCUCAUCAUCUGAUUAAGCAUCCUUAUCUUUAUUGUUGUAGGAAAAUUAGGCGUAGCUAAAUGAAAGCGUGGAAUCGACGGUAGAGGUAGUAAUUCCAUAAACUUCAAACACUGGAUUGGACGUGCCCAACUCAUCAGCCACUCAAUUAAAUGUUUCUGUGCAUUUUGACAUUUUCUUGAGUAAGCCAGUUGAUCGAUCUCUUAAAAAUCUUUUAUCACUUUUGUGGUCUGCUAUAAUUUCACUGCAUUACCCGAUGAAACAGUCCAAAUGUUAACAGAAGAGGUGCUGUCACAUAGCAUGGGAUUCCAAUGGUUGUGUGAAAGAAAACUUGAACUUGGAAAUGAGCUUUAAAUGGAAAAAAAACAUUGGGAUUGUUUAGGCCAACCUUGUAUAUGUAUGCGUACAAAGAAAUUCGGCAACUUUUACAGCUACACACAUUUCGUUAUGACAUAAAAUUAGCUAUGUAAGCUUGCCAAUUGAUUUAAUCAAAACAUUUUGAUUUUGCUGCAACGGGUUUUGAUCGCUAAAUUUUGUCUCGUUAUCAGUUGAACAUGUGGACGUAAACUAAUUUUCACAUUGAAUGCAUAUGAUAUUUUGCAUGGUAAUUAAAUAUGAUAUUUUGCGUGAUAUUUAAGACUAGUACUUUUACAUGACUUCUUCCAUUUGAGAGAUAUGGAUAAAUUCUUGUUUAAUAUCCAAUGUUUAAGCCAGUUACUUUGGUUUAUUGUUGCUAUUGCACUAAUAUUUGGCACCUUUAUAGUGAGAAUUGAUGCAUUUUGAAUUGAUGGCUAUCCUCAGAGGAGAAAGUAGGGAUGGCAAACCCGAGAUCCACAUGAUCCAUAUCCAAUGGAUCGGAUUUGGGUCGGUUUAAAAUGGAUUUGAAUUGGAUUUAUAUAUCAAUGCGCGGAUCUAAGACGGAUCUUGGAGUAAAUAUGAAUUUAUCUUAAUAUCUAUAUCCAAAUUCAUAUCUAUUUACUUUUUAAUUUAAUUUUAUUUUAAAAAUUUCCUAACAAUUGUGUAAUUAUAAAUGAUAAUAAAUUUUAUUCAUAACAUAUUAGUGGUAUUUACCAUAUAUUUAAAAAUCUUAAACUUGAAAGGCAGUUCUGUAAAUUUAAAUGAUAAUAAGACAAAAUAAUUAAGUAUAAAUUAGGACGGCCGACCUUUCAAAUCUCUUACUAUCAGUUCAACCUCUUUCUUUCUCUUCAGUCUACUUUCAAUUCUCCUCUCCAUUUGAAUGCUUGAAUCAUUCUUUUAAUUGUAAGGUAAAUCUCCAAACUUGAGCUUCCUUUUCUAUUAUUUUCUCAUAACCUUAUUCAUGUUUUGUAAUCACUAAUAAGUGGUAACUAUCUACUGUAAUCACUAAUCAGUGGUAACUGUCUACUAUGAAAUAACUAUGUCAUUCAUAUAUUUAGUUAGAUAUGAUGAUAACAAAAAGUAAUAAAGCACUAAGUAUAAAUUAUAUUCCACUUAUAUAUCAUUAUUUAGUGUUGUAGGAAUGACGAUAGGUGUGCCAUGGAUAUCAGAACGAUGAAAGAGAUAUUAAAAUAUUACAUUGAUCUUACUCUUGCAAUUACUUUUGAUAGAUAUUUUAUUAUCUUUCUUAUUUGUUUGUUUCGGACUAAAAGCAUAAGCUACAAUAUUCAUCAGAUUUUGAGACAAAUUAUAUAAUUUAAUUGUUAUCAAUACAUAUUAGUCUUUAAUUUUCUUUCUAAAAAAUAUAGCUCUUUUAUUAUUAAGUUUUAGAAUUCAUUAUGGAUUUAAAGCGGAUUUGAAUUGUAAUUUUUUUUUAUUUGGAGCAGUUAUAUAUCUUUAUGUUUUUUCGCAUUAGAAUAUGGAGCGAAAAACAUGGAUCCAUUACGAAUUUGGAGCAGAUACAGAUCUCAAUUUUUAUUAUGGCUCUAAAUCUAAAUCAGAGUAUAUCCAACCCAUAUCUGCCUGUUGCCAUCUCUCGGAGAAAGAUAAAUAUCUGUCCGGAUUGAGUUUCUUAACAAACAGUUAUUUCAUUUAUUUUUUCGGUUGUCUUUCAAUGUAGUUUUGAAUAGGGAUAAUAAUGUCGUUGCUAUAACAAAGGGGUUUCAAAAGACUGUUUAGGAGUGCCGAUAGCACCAACAUUCGUUUGAAUACUAGCCCAACAGGAAGAAACUCGCACCGCCCGUAGGUCCCCAAAGUUAAAAGAGUUUCGGUGACAAUCGACAGAAAGUACGAUUAUAUAUAAGAAAAUAACCAAUCAUAAAAGAUCGAAUGUUUCACAUUUUAUAAAUCUCAUCAAUAUUAAGGGAAAACAAAAAAGAUGAAAAAAUGAAAAACAAACCAAACGACAUCGUCAUCCACUAUGACAUAUCCCAAUAAGAGUGAUAAAAGAAUCCGAAAGAAUUGUCAGAACCUGGAGCACCGAAUGGAUCUAUAGAGUAAACAACAUUAGUGUACAUUUUGCUCUUCGAAAAAUAAACUCGGAGUAGGAUAGCAAAUGUUAGAAGCUAGCAUUUUCAGUGUCGCCAAUAGAAAACAACAAGAUUUUUAUAUCAUAAUUAGGAAAACCGCCACUAUCAAUAGCCAAAUCAAUAGCCAAACUUAGCCACCGCUGGAAAUUGGGGUACUGUAACUUUUUAAAAAAUAAAAGUUAAUAUUAUAUAGUAAGAGAAAAAAAUUAUAUUUACAAAAUAAAAAUUAAUAUUAUAUAGUAAAUUUAGCAUUUAAAUAAUAAUUUUAACAAAAACAAUAAAUAUGUUUUUUUUUUCUAUCAUACAAGUGAUAGAUCAAAUCAAUUUAGUUUCUAAGUCAUAGCAACUAAUGCUUAUUAAACGUUUUGGUAUUAUAACUUUUAAACUAUAACUAGCCAAACUUAAUACCAAAUAGAACCUUCGAAUGAAAAACUUGAAUUUUGGCAUAUGAAUGAAAGAAUUUCAGGAUCAAUAGCCAAUCCCAACCGUUUCCACCCUAACAUGUACAAAGAUGUCUUGUAUCAAUCUUACAAAUCAAUUAAAAAUCUUAAUGUCGUUUUAGUGAUAUCAAUUUUUUUUCCCAACCACUAUAUUAUAAACUUGACCUUUGUGCCAUUUUCAUAAAUAAGAGUGGAAAAACUAUUAGUAUAUUGUUUGUUAUUCUCUCGAGUAUGUGCAUCUUGGAAUUAUGACAUCUAUAAUCAAAGAAAACAAUUUAGGAAUAUGACAAGAUAACUUUGUACAACAUGGUUUCAAAGUUGAUAUCGCAGAGCUUUGCUUGGUAAAAGAUUGCUCCUGUCUUCAAUAAAUCUUCUCAAUCUUCAAAAAAUCUGACAAGAAACACCACUCGAACCUAAGUUCUUUACCACGAAAUUUCAAAAACAAAAUCAGCUUCCCAAUUCACCAGUUCCUAAUUAAUGGCGCAAGAAUCCCUCCUCUCUCAUUAGGUGUUGAUUCUUGUACUCUCACCGUGCCAGUGCAACAAGGGCAGUUUCAAUGGACCCACGAUCCAAUAUUGUGUUUGACUUUCAAACCAGAAUCACCUCCAAGGAUCUGGACGUUGUUGUUGCUGGUGAACUCACUUGGUGAUCCGUAUUUCCUUCCUGCACAGUAUAAGAAAAUAAGGCACAUGUUAUAUAUCCUUUGAAAGGCAUGGUUAAAUUAUAAUUAAUAUGGAGUAAUUAACUCAAAUGAUCAUUUCAACCAUUGUGUUUUUCCAAGCCUUGUCAAUCUCCUCAUAGACAACAUCAAUAGUUGGCCGGCCUUUGCUCGAUUUGGCAACACAUAGCACAGCAAUUUUCAAAAUGGAUUCAAAAUCCGCCCGGUUGAUAUUUCCAUUCAGCCUUGGAUCUUCAAAAUCUUUUAUUGGCCGUUUUCCCAUGCUUACAUCUCUUGCCUGCACAAAAUUUAUUUACUUGAUAUCAUAAAAUUGAAUUUGAAUGAAUCAAGUGCUAAUCUCGUGCGUGUCGAGUAUUUUUGUGUGUGACACACGACCCAAAAAAAAAAAAGGUACCUUUCUUGUGAGUUGGUCUCUAGCAUCAAAAUCCAAUUCAAUGACCUUUUGUCCUGAUAAAAGUUGGAGAGCAACAAUACCGAAACUGUAAAUGUCACUGGCACAAGUUAGCUUUGCAUUAGUCAUGUAUUCGGGGUCCAUAUAGCCAAUGGUUCCUCUCACAUCAGUAAAUACUUUGCUCUCUUCCAUGCCCAGCAUCUUAGCCAACCCAAAAUCAGAAAGCUUCGGUUCCAGCUUCUCAGUCAAAAGAAUGUUUGUAAGCUACAACCAAAUUAAAACAUGUAGCGUCUUUAGAAGAGUUGAAAGAAAUAAACAUUGAUGCUAUAAUUAAACUUAUUGGGAAAUUUCUCGCUACCUUAAUAUCUCUAUGGACAAUGCACCCAUCAAUAUAAUGGUGAAGAUACCUCAAUGCAAGUGCACAAUCUCUCAGGAUUUUAACUCUUCUUUCCCACGUUAGUACACUAUCUUUUCCUGGAAAAAAUUAUAAAAGCAAAUUAGUGUAAAGCUCGAAUAAAAAGGAAAAACAUUUGAAGAUAAAAUAUGUAUAUUACUGAGGAGAUGUUGAGCGAGAUUCCCGGCAGCACAAAAUUCAUAAACUAGAUAUUGCUCGCCUCCUUCGACGCAGCAUCCGAAUAGGCAUACGAGAUUUGGAUGGCGAACCCUGGAAAGGCCUUCAACUUCCCUUGAAAAUGAAUCGGUGUUGUUGCUCUUGUAUAUAUGCUUGAUGGCAACGACUUGACCACUUGGCAAAACGCCCUUGUAGACUAAACCAGCACUUCCGCGGCCUAAGAACCUUCGGUCCCAGUCGUUAUUUAUGGCAUUUUCAAUCUCGUCCUUAGAAAAUCUGUAGAGACCUGACCACGUUGUACUGUAAAUCUCUUUAGUUGGCUUAGGAGAUUUCCGCUUGGGCAUGCAGCCCUUAUUCUUGCUCUGUAUCUUGCUCUUGGCCACGUGUUUUAUAAGUACAAGAAUCAACAUCAUCACGAAAGUCGCUAUAAGGACCGCGAUUAUUGCUUUCACCACAGCAGCUGAUAAGCUAAAUGAUCUCAAUGAGUACAAGAGAAAAAAAUAAUAAAAAAAAAGGUUUCAAUUCAAGCAGUAUGCCAAAAAUGGAAAGAUUAUUGGCAAUGUUAUACAGCUAAAAAAAGAAGUAGAUAGCCCAUGGGAGUAGCUCAGCUGGAUGCGAGUGUGUUUUGUAUCCAUGGUCAUUUGAAUUUGAAUGAUAGUAAAACGGUAAAAGAUUGGUGCUUGAUGGUUGAGAUUUUUCGUUCUCAUCUAAACUUAGAAAAAGGGCAAAGAAGAAGAAAAGAUCCACUUACUUUUGAAUCUGAUAAAUCCAGGAUCUGUUGCAAUCAAAAGAGUAAGAGGUCAAUAGUAGGAACCAAGAAUAUAAGAAGUAUAGUUUUUUGUUAAUUCUGGUACGGUUUAGGAAUGUCGAUGGUUCUUACCAAUCUGAUCUAUCGAAUGCAAACAGUUAUAUAGAUCAGCAAGUGAUGAGCGGUCAUCAAAGUUUGCGGCUGUAACGGUAAUAACAACUGCUAGCCCACAAGUAGCCUUUUCAUUGUCAUCAUCACCAUCAGCAUUAAAUUCUUCCAGCAGAUAAUCCCUGAAUUUAACCACUGCUGUUGUACAAUUCCUGCAGGCAUCAGCAAAGGAUGUUGAAUUGAAGCGGGAACAAGGUUGCAAAACCCCUUGAAAUUCUUCAUUCCGCUGAAUCAGUGACAAAGAUGAUGAGUUCGCGCACUUGCCAUUCCCAAAGGAAAAGCCAUCAAAUCCACAGGAUUUCACGGAUACGAAAUUUUGUCUUGUAAAAGGAACACUGCACUUUUGCCACUCAUUUUGUUCGAGAAAGAUGCUUGUGUUAGUGUUCUCACGAGCACGUUGUGCUAGUGCCUGGGAGAAGAAUGUUAGCGCAUUUCGACAGCAAAGAAUUGAAGGGAUGCUUUCCCAGUAGAUGACUUUCCUGUCGUUGUCUAUGCACUCCCCGGAAGGUUGAUAUGGCUCACGACUGGACUCUAAUGCACAAUCUGCAUGGCAUGAUAGCUUGUUAGCCAAUCUGAUAAAUAAUCAUUAAAAUAACCUAAGACAAAAAUGAAUAUGACAAGCUCGUGAUUUGACAAGAUGUUCACUAAUCCCCUUGGUUUCAGAAAGAAUCAAUCACACAGAUAUAUUUUCUUGGAAAAUAUUAAGAGACCGCGAGGGUAUCAUUGUCCCUUUUCUUAACAAAAGUAAGCACGAGAGGUUAAUGAAAUACAACUUGGAUCAGUACAAAUCGAGGUCGAUACUCAACUUAAUCCGACGAAAUAAGCAUAUACCUUGAGAAAAAGAAUUAUAUGAAAAUGUACGGAUGAAAAGAGCACAAAGUAUGCAGAAGAAAGAAAGAGUCGAUGUUUUUUUCAUGUCUCCCUUUUGACCUUCCACCUGCCCUAUAAUUAAACUUUAGUCCAUAUCACAAAGAAAAUAUUAAGUAUUAGAGCAAACCAGCCACUGAAAGUUUUCUCAGGAAACAGUGGAAUUACAUACUUAUAGCUGAUCUUUUCCUAGAGAUUAUCAUAUACAAUGCGGAUAUUCUUGUUUAAUUAAUCUGCCAAGCUUGGUGUUUACAGCCUGGUCUCACACUACGCUAUUGAUAUUGUCGUACACAUCAUUUCGUGAUACUUUAUAUCGAUCUUAAUGAUCAAUAAUUAAAAGCUUUGGUUACAACUCCAGGGCCAUUUGUUUAUUAGAUAACAGUUGAUUCCUAUCCUUUUAUCCUUGAAUCACAUCGCCGCAUGUUGUCCGGAUGAACAAUGACAUGUUUCCGAGAGGAAUUUGUUCACAUUAUUAAUUUAAGCCAUCCACGUAUUUCACCUCAUUUUUCUUCUCCAAUUUUUUUUUUUUAAUAAUUUUCUUGGUGGAAUGUUAUAAACAAAUUUUUGAUAAUUAACAAUUACUAUUGUUUUUUUUUCCCUUUAUUUAGAAAUUUGAAUGAGAAAAAAUGAGAAAUCUCUUCUACUAAGUACUCUUUUUUUUUUUUCUCUAUUAUUACUCAAAUUCAGGCAAAGUUGGUUUUCAACAAAAUUGAAUUGACAGCCAAUGGGUUCAAUUUUUUUUUUUUUAACCGAAAGAAAGAAAAAUGAAAUCUAGAAUGAAAUCAAAGUGAAUUAGCCGAUUUUGAACCGAAUUAAGCUUAUAAAUAAGAAAAGAAAAAUGAUAAAGAAACUGAAAGGGGACCGAAAUAACGCUGUUAAAUUUUUCUAUUUUUGUUUCCAUUAGUUUGAUCACAUAAUUGCAGGUGAAUAAUCUUAUUAUUUUCCAGAAGAUGUUACGUUGGUGGUAGUUAUAGAGCCUGAUCUUCUUCCCACUUGGGUCAGGGGCCGAGUCGGAUUAAAAAUUUAGGUCCAAAUGUUGUAGGGUACAUGUUUGAAGAUUAAAGUUAAAAGUAUUUAAUUAUUGAGGUAAAAUGUUAAAUUUUUAAACUUAUAGGUGCUAAAUGAAAAAAAAAGGGGACUAUGUCAACAUUUUACAUUGUAUAUUUAAUAAUUAAGUGGUGAUAUUUCCACUCCUCAAAUUGUAUAAACCCACCCCCACUUUAACAUAAUAAUAAUAAUAAUAAAUUCAAAAUUAUCUUAUCAUUUUCAAAUUUAGAUUAAAUUCGAUCAAUCAAUUAACUAAUUAAUUCCUUAUUAACAUAAUUAUCGAUCUUCAAUUAAACUAACAAAACGUUUUUGUGACAUGAUAACUCACAAAAUUUACUAACUACAAAAUUCAUAUUAUUUAUCUCAUGAAAUUUAUUGGUUGUGAGAAGUUUGUAAUUGGUUAAUUGUUUAAAUUUUUUCCAUUUUAAAUUUUUAAAAAUAAUACAAAUUUUUUUGUAAAUAAUUUUUGAAAGAGGGUUGAUUUACACAAUUUGUAUGGUGGAAAUAUCCUUACCUUAAGAAUUUUUAUUUUUGUUAAUUUUUUCAUGAUCAAACGUAGCAAAUCACCUGUUGGUUCUGGAAAGAACUAAUACUACAAUAGAUCAUGUCGUUUUUGUCAUUCAAACAAGUUGAUAGAACUAGCAUAAUGUCUAGCAAACGGCUACCAGCAAUCCAAGUGUUGAACAUUAGAAGGCCAUUAGCAGAGUUUUGGGUUAUUUGAAGAGAACUAUCGAACUUGGUCUCCAAUAUUAAAAUUCCCUGCUUUUUUAGAAGGAUAUACAGAUGCUAGCUCGAUAUCAAGUGUAAGAGAUAGCAUAUCUACUAUAAGUUGGGUAUUUACUCUUGGAGGUGGUGCAAUUUCUUGGGGAUCCAAGAAACAAACUUGCAUUACACACUCAACCAUGGAAUCUCAAUUUAUUGUUUUGGCAGCAACAGGGAAAGAAGCUAAGUGGCUAAGGGAUCUUCUUUUAGAAAUCCCAUUUAUUUCAAAGAAUUUAUCUGCUAUAUCUAUACAUUGUGAUAGUAAAGCCACUUUGGCUCGUGGAGUAUGUAAUGGGAAGUUAAGACACAUUAGUCUUAGACAUGCAUAUGUGAGACAAUUAAUUCAAUGUGGAAUUAUUGCCAUCACAUAUGUGAAGUCAAGUGAAAACUUGGCUAAUCCAUUUACCAAACCUCUUACAAGAGAAUUGGUAAAAUCAACAUUUAGAGGGAUGGGGCAGCAACCCUUUAACCAAAAGGUCCACCAAUGAUGGCAACCCAAUCUAACACUAGAAAAUAACUGGUUCUAUAUUCAAUGGGUACAAACAAGUCAUUGAUAAGUGGAUAUGUAAUUCGGCACUAAAUAAUUAAAAGCCCUAUCUAUGAUGUAUAAUGUCGAUUGUUACAGAUUGAGGGUUGAGUUAUUAAACUCUUAGUGAAGUUCAGUCUAUGUGUGACAAGUAUCUUAAAUGUAACAAAGAUACUGGAAGAACUUCCCCUAUGUGAACUUUGAAGUGGUGCCGCUUCACAUGAGUGUUAGGAUUUCUCUCAAGAAAGUUCAUGAAACAGGAUGAGCACGGGGGCAUUAAAAGUGCUAAGCAAGGAUAAUGUGAACAUAUGAACACAAAAGUAGUUGUGUGUAUAGUGUUACUGGUUUGGUCAUAUAGGAAUAACUCGUUCAAAAUUUCGUGCCACCUGGAAUUUUGACAAAAUUUUGUGAUAGUUAUACUAAGGUAAAGUUUAAAUCGAAAAAUACCUUUCUUUAUGCAUAAACUUUGUAAUAUUUUCUGGCUAAUGUCUUUUUAUUCAUUUUGACCAAGUGGUAGACUGUUGGGUUUUGGUCAAAUAAGAAUAUAAAAAAAUUGUGAAAAUUCAUAACGAAUCAUCACAAUAUUUGGUGAUGUAUGAGUGUUUAAGAGUUUAUAUAAGGACAAGGGAGAUAAUUUUCAAUAAUAAUCUAAUUCUUUAUAAUUUGUCCUUGUCAAUUUCCUACAACACUAGAAAAAAUUGUCAGAUAUAAAGUAUUUAUAUUUUCUUAGUGAAUUCUUCACUUUUAUUUAGUGCAGACUGCAGAUUCACAUUAAAGACUUGUCAUAUCCUAAAAGUGACUUGCCGUUAAACGCAUAAGCAAUUUCUACCAAAAGGGGGCAAUUAACGCUUGAAGAAAAAUAUAUUCAGUACGUGUUUCAAGUCUCUAUCUACUACUACUAUUUUUUUUUAACAAUUAUGUUUAAUUUUUAAAGGUUCGUUGUCGUAGCAUCAGUAGUGGACAACGUUUCUGUUCUGCGUUUCUUGUCCCUUAAUAAUUCCUAUUACUCGUUGUCGUAGCAUCAGUAGUGGACAACGUUUCUGUUCUGCGUUCUUGUCCCUUAAUAAUUCCUAUUACUGAAAUCUGUAGGGCUCAAAUGAAUAAAAUUGCAAACUAUGCGGGUAUCAUUUAGUUAUUGUAAAAUCACAGGAUAAAUAUGUAAAAGAUGAAGAAAAAACCAGAUACGGAACAAGUGGAAUUGAAGGGGACGUUACGUAACAGCCCUGGUCUCCACAAGAACACAAUGUCUUAUCUUUUUUUCUUUUUCGCUCAAAACCCAACACACAGUUGCCUUGGCGCCCUUUUUAUCUCCCUGGUUGUUCCUCAUUUUCUUUCAUUCUUUGUUUGAAAAAUCCAAAAGAUAAAAAAACAGAGAAAACAAUUUCAAGUUGACAUGAAAAGCUGCACUUCACCAUUUCUUGCAUUUUAUUUUCUGUUACAUUCACUGGCAGUCUUUCUUCAGGUCCCCUACUACUAGGUCAGCUUCCUUGACUCUCUUUCUUUGUUUUACUUGUUUAACAACAAUUUGUUUGAUGCAAUUUGGAGUCCUUAAUGGGUUAAUGUGUUCUUGGCUUGAGUAUCUGCAGAAGUGAUUUAUUUAUCUAUUUAUUCACUGAAAUUAAUUGUUAACUUUCUUUCUAGUAGCAAUAGGAUAGGAUAAGCAAUUGGGUACUUUUCUUUUUUUUUUUGGCUGAAAUUCUUGGUCACCCGUAGUUUGAAAUUGAGUGUUUCCUGCUGAAUUCACUCUAUGGCUCCUUUAUAGAAAAUGUGUUAGGCCUAAGAGGGCACUAAUUAGCAAAUUACUAAUUAUAUGUUUUUUAAAUGGCAGCAGAGUAAUGCUUCUGUCACUCAAAAGUGUUGAGACUAGAAGUUGAUUUGGAAUUUGAGCCAUUGGUUGUUGUUGUAUUUUCUUCACUACAUGAUUCAGAUAUAUGUACAAUUCGUGCAAUUUAUUUGUAUUUAAUUAUUACUUUGAUUUGAAGAUUAUUUAAUGAUUUGGUACCAAGAGCUAUAUAUGAGAAUGUCUGACUUAAAAUUUCUCCAUACAUUUACAUACAUACAUAGAGCCAUCAAUUUAUUCAUAAGCAUUCGCGUUCAGUAAUUUACAAAUAAUUUGGAGCAAUUGGAUUUAUAUAAUAGGAAAGGAUGAUGCUAUAGAAUGCUUUAAAGAUCACUUCUUUUGUCUUAUAUGCUGCUUCAAGUUGAAGAAGCACAUAUGCAUUAUUAAAAAGGUUGACAAAUAAAUAAACUCACUGACAUAUUUCAAUGAUAAUCAGCUUGCAAUAAGAAGAACUCUGACACUGAACUAUUAUGGCGUUGGUUGCAAGUUCCAUAUGUUUGUACGGUAAUGAAAGGAUUGGCAAUCCAUGUAGCAGAACAGGGUUUGCAAUUACUGAAAAGAGCCAAAACAGGAGAAUGGUGUAUUACCGUGGCAUAGUUACACUGAAAAUUAAGUCCAAUGGCAAGAAGUCAACGUGCUCCCAGUUAAUGAGAUCCUACAGAAAUUGUUGCAAGAUUGGCUUAAGAUGUUCAAAUCUGGUGUCAGGAAGAACAGAGAAAGUUUCUUCAAUCUCUAACACUGGUACAACAAUACCUGAGGUAGCCCUGCUUUCUUGAUGCAUAGUUGCAUAACUAUCGACACGGUUCUUUCUUUAAAUCCUUUUCCCUGUAAAUUUUCUUGCUUUCAGUUUCAUUUUUCUUUUGAUUUUCUGUAGGCAAAAGAGGUGCUUAAAAAUCUGGUGCACUCUGUACCAAAUGUGCUGAAGGAAUGGAGCCAAUUACAGUUGAUUAAUGUAGCUGGUGUACUGGCUUGCAUGUUUUUGGUCAUUCCAUCAGCUGGUGCUGUUGAUGCUCUCAAGACAUGUACUUGCUUAUUGAGGGAGUGCAGGUACUCGAUACUUAUUGCCAUUUUACAGCUUCGGUUUUUAGAAACAUGAUAACUAAUGGUACUGUAGCACUGCAUCCCUUGCAUACUCAAAUUCUCUUUAUCAAAAUGGGUAAGAAAUUAAACUAAUAUACUUAGCUCGUCUUUUACCCAAAAAAGGAAAUGCCUUAUUCCAUAUGUCAGAAAGGCGUAUUGGAAAUUGCAUUUUAUCAUUCUGGUACGCGUUUAUAAAAUUUUUUAUCUCUAGGCCUUGAAGUUGAACUGAAAAGGGUAUCUGCCUUCUAUAUGUGAUAUCAUCUCAUGCGAAUUGUGGAUACUGAAAAUAAACCAACUACAACCUCAAGUUCAAUUCAACUGUUUCUUUUGUCCUACUACAACUUUGUCCUGGGACUGCAUCAAAGCACUGGUUAUGAGCUUUUGAUUGUGUACAGGAAUGGAAUUCUCACUCUUUUGGUCGCCAUAUUUCUGAGGGAAUCAAACUUGAUUGAAUAUAUCAUUUGGUCCAUUCUCAUAGGGUGGAUAAGUCGGAAUUUAGGCAUGAAAAUGUGUUGGUUUCUCUAUACAUACAUCAUUGUGUUUUUCAUCAGUUCUUUUCUUGUAAUUCCUCUAUCAAGCACUGUCUUAGAAUUCAAUCCAUCUUCAUGGGUUCUUAGCACUGGGAUUAGUGGCAGAUGCCUUUCAAUAUAAAGAAUUGGUUUAAGAGCUUCAGAAUUACACAGAAAAUCAGUAGCUAAACUGAGCUUCUAAUUUUCUUGAGUACCCAACCUUGAAUUUUUGUGCUUUUUGAUAUCAAAGUUCAAGUCUUACAGAAAGUGCUCCUUUCAUAUAUUAAUGUUAUUUGAAUGUUGGAAAUCUUUCAUUGGGGGAUUAAAGUUGCUAUUUCUUCUUUAAAUUCUACCAAUGAUCUUAGCCAAUUAUGUUCAAUUUCACUCACCAUAUUGUCGUGAUACGUCUAGCUGUUUUAAUUGUAUUGUCUAAGUUUGAAUAAGGUAUCAUUUGACAGUAACCUGUAGUGAUUAAGUGAAUUCUUUUUUUAUUUUUUUUCAGCAAGAUGUUAAAAUGGCUCCUUGUAAAUUUUUCCAUUAUUCUGGUUCUAUUUUGUAUUAUCAGUUUUAUGGAUUUAGGAUAAUUCAUGUCAAUAGACUCGCUAGUUGUUGUGAGGCUUUUCUUGAUCGUCCAGCUUGAUGAGGUAGCUCAGUAUUCAGAGAACAAGAUAAAUCAUUCUUUUUGUUGUUGCGUUAUUUUCUGAUUUAUUCCAUUGGUCAACAACCAUGACAACCAUAUCAGUAAUCUAUGCUCUAUCAUGCAGAAAUGUGUAUCCAAGUUUCAGGAUUUAAAACUAGAAUUAAUUCUGCUAAUCAACUUCGAGAAGAGUGGACAGUAUUUUAAAUUGAGUUGCUACAAAAUGACAAGAGUAAGAGGACAACAAAUCAUGAAGUCAAAAGCUGAUCUGUAAAUUUACUGAUCAUACAUUCUCAGGGCGAACAAAACCUGAAACUCAUGAUUGCUCCUAUUCUUUAUCACUUCAAUGAUGAACUUAAGGUUCUUUUUUUGUGUGUGUGUGUGUGGGGGGGGGGGGGGGCCNNNNNNNNNNNNNNNNNNNNNNNNNNNNNNNNNNNNNNNNNNNNNNNNNNNNNNNNNNNNNNNNNNNNNNNNNNNNNNNNNNNNNNNNNNNNNNNNNNNNNNNNNNNNNNNNNNNNNNNGGGGGGGGGGGGGGUGCAUAUAUUGAUGAGUAUGGUUCACCAAAGUUUUUCAUCCUUUCUCUUUUAGGAAUUUGUCCUUUAGCAGAGGAUCUAAUUUAUUCCAGGCAAUCGCAUACCAACCUGCUCACAUUAUGCAUGUUAUUGCCAGUUUCAUGUCUCAUUUCUUCAUAUGGACACCCAGCAUCCAAAAUUAAACAUAACCGGUCAUCUGUCUCAAGUUGAAUUUUCAUCUUUGUCAGGCUGGAACUUGCUGAGUGCAUUUCAAAUCCGGCAUGUGCUGCCAAUGUUGCUUGCCUUCAAACCUGCAACAAUCGGCCUGAUGAGACUGAAUGCCAGGUUGGUUCUUUAUUUCUCUCUGGAGACAUUCACACGCUUAUCGAUUUUAACCGGGAUCUGGAAUUGUAAGCUCUAUUUUCUUAUGCAGAUAAAAUGUGGGGACCUGUUUGAAAACAGUGUUGUUGAUGAGUUUAAUGAGUGUGCGGUCUCAAGAAAGAAGUGUGUACCACAGAAAUCUGAUUUAGGGGAAUUUCCUGUCCCUGAUCCUGCCAUUCUAGUUAGAAGUUUUAACAUCAAAGACUUCAAUGGGAAGUGGUACAUUUCUAGUGGUUUAAAUCCUUCCUUCGAUACUUUUGAUUGCCAAUUGCAUGAAUUCCAUACAGAAUCCAACAAACUCAUAGGAAAUUUAUCGUGGAGAAUAAGAACUCCAGAUGGUGGUUUUUUCACCCGAUCAGCUAUGCAGAGAUUUGUUCAAGAUCCAAUUCAUCCUGGGAUACUCUAUAAUCACGACAAUGAAUACCUUCACUAUAAAGAUGACUGGUAAAUACCUUUUCUGCAUUCUAAUAAAGCUCCUGGUCUUACUUCUUUGCAAAUACUGAUCAGUCUUCUGCUGUUACCACUUAGUGAACUCCAGUUCACUUGCUAAUGAACCUUCAAUAUUUUCUUCACUAGCUUAUGACUAUGAAUAACUUUGUAAGGACGUGAAGUAUGGAUUUUGAUAGUAUCUUUACAGCACUGAUGUGAUGAACCCUUUGUAAGGUCUAAAAACGGGUGGCCACUUACACUAAUGAUUCAGAAAGUAAUAUUACAUCAAAAAAAAUUUUGCUUUUCUGUUGGAUACAAUCCCAUGGAUUAAUCUGCUUGCGUCUGGCAGUUUUUCAUUAUGAUACUAAAUUAAGGUAUUUUUGGUGCAUCAAUCAACGAGGAUAGACCUGUCAUUACACUGCCAUCCCACUCAAAAGACUUAUCCAUCUUGAUACCCAAUGCAUGUAGGUAUAUAUUGUCAUCCAAGAUACAGAACGAACCAGAUGACUAUGUCUUUGUGUACUAUCGGGGCAGCAACGAUGCAUGGGAUGGAUAUGGUGGUGCUUUUUUAUACACCAGAAGUAAAACUGUGCCUGAAACCAUUGUACCUGAACUUGAAAGAGCAGCCAAAAGUGUAGGUCGGGAUUUCAACAAGUUCAUCAGAACAGAUAAUACUUGUGGACCAGAGCCUCCCCUUGUAGAGAGACUUGAGAAAAAGGUGGAAGAAGGAGAGAGGACAAUCAUAAAGGAGGUAGAACAACUAGAAGGUGAGGUGGAGAAGGUUGGAAGAACUGAAAUGACUUUGUUUCAGAGGUUGGCAGAAGGGUUCAAAGAGCUUCAAAAAGAUGAGGAGAAAUUCUUGAGAGAGCUAAGUAAAGAAGAAAUGGAUCUGUUAAGUGAGCUGAAAAUGGAAGCAAGCGAGGUAGAAAAUCUUUUUGGACGAGCUUUGCCAGUUAAGAAGAUAAGAUAGAACUCAAUUUAGUAUCUUAUUAAUUUUUUAAAACUGUACAGCAAUUCAGUCAAAUCUUUUGAAUUAAUUCUUUCAGAUAUAGUGCUUUUAAUUCCAUCAGAUAUCUUUCCUCUGUAUUUUCCAAAAAACAAAACAAAAAAGGUAUCUUUCUUCUGUGCUACAGACUGGUCAAUGUUAUCUCAUCUUAAUCCAGAAAUUAAUGUAAGUUAGGUUACGAUUGAGAUGAUCUUAUUUUUCAAAUCUAAAAUCAGAAAAACAGAGGGAUGGUUUGUCUAAAAUGAAAAGCGAACCCCACAAAUAGAUUAAGUGAAGAACAUAAAUGCAGUUUACAUUCUAUCAAUACAAUGACUUUCGAAGAGAUCACAUUGAACAAAAAGAAUAAAAGAAUGAAAGACCAAUCACAGGCCAGUCCCAGCACAAGGACUUUUGAAGUGAAAAAAAAUUAGAAGGAUAACAGGGUUUAUCCUCCACAGAACUUCCAGCAAUUCAAGAACUGCUAAAGCUAGUUGCAAUAGGGAUGACGAUAAGAAGAAUGAUCAACAACAAAAGUAUUAUCCCCACACACAUCCACUUCCUAUUGCUCCUCUGGUAGUCCUUGGCGGUCUUGAGCUCUUUGGUUCCAUCCUUGACAUAAUGUGAAGCAUUCAUCACAUGGUGCUCAAUAUCAUCCAUCUGCUCGCCCUGCGCCUCCACCAUCACAGCCAUGUCCAAGAAAAUUUGAUGUAGCUCCAGCAAGCUCUUUUCAAUCUCUUUCGCCGUGUCAUGCCUGUCCUGAAUCUCCACCACCGUCUCCAACACCUUCCCCCUUCCAUGCUCUUGUAUCGCAUGCGUCAAAAACUCCUCACUCCCAUUAUUAUCACUGAUGAUUUUCUCAAUCACAUCCUCAUUUGGGUACUCUCCAGUCACAGUAAAGUACCUUCUCCCAACAGUUUCUUUAUACUCUGUCAUCAUUUUCUGCCUCAACCCUUGAAACUCCAUCAUAAGCUCUUUUAACUUCUUCCGCAAGCCAUUAGUGACAGCAAUUCUAGUCCUGUAAAUCGGAGUCCCUUCUUUGCAGCCAGAAAGGCGCUUAUUAGCAGCAUUGGCGCGGUCCAUGUCUUCAAGAUGAGACUUAAUAUUCCUGGCUCUUUUGAGUACCGUGACAACAUCUUUGUUGAUCUUAUGCCUCAAUAAUUUAAGAGCCUCGGGUUUGUGCAAGGACUUGCUCUGUUCAUUGGCCUCUUGGAGUCUGCCUAAGACAUCGCGGAUUUCUUCCAUUUCUUUCUUCACAUUUUCAGCUUCUGCCAGGAAUAGGUUGAGGUUUUGGUCCAUAGUGUUAGUUGAAGUUGUCAUUUCCAGAUCAGGAUCCGGGCCAGCUUCGAGAUCUUUCAUGGCCUCCUUUUUGAGGUCAACAUAGCUGGUGAAAGACUUUGUCAUUAGGUCAUUCAUCUUUGAAACUCGGAAUGUCCUUCACUCACCUGAAGUAAACAAAGAAGAAAAUGAAUUAGUUCUUUCUUUGCAUUUGAAGCUAUAUCAGUAAGAACUUUAACCAAUUAAAAUACUAAAACCAGACCAAAAUUGAAUCAAAUUUAUGAACUUGGAAUUGCUUUUCAACUUUGUCCAAAUUGAAGCGCUUCUACAUACCAAAUUGAACAAAAAUAAUCUCUCUUUGCUGUUUCUAACACUACCUAGAAAAAUUAUGCUCAUGAAUCUUUCUUUCCUACAAACAAACACUAUCUACUUGAAUAUGAACAUUUAUUCAAUUUCACCCAAAAUUUGAUUAAAUUCAUGAAAUGGGUAUUGCUCGCCCUCUUUUGCUGUUUGAAUGUGCAUAUUUCUUCAACUUGACUGACAAAAAGGAUCUACCCGAACACUGAAAAGGAAACAAAUAUCAAUUGGACGAAAUGGAUAUAUCGCUUACCUUCUUCAAUGAAGUGAAAAAGCGGCUGCUUGCUCGCGUAGCUGAGCGAGAAAUUUGGGAAUUACAAUAUCUCAGGUGGGUUUUGAAAAAGGAAAGCAAAUCUCAGCUCGGUUGAUGAACUGUUCUUUUGACAGGUUUGAUACGAGUCAAGGUUCACUUAAAAGGAAGACAAAAGCAGAUCAUUACAGAAAAAUAGCCGUUGUACAAGCCAGCUUCCAACGGCUAUAUUUUUCAAUAGCCGUUUCGCGAAUCCUUAAUAUUUUUUCGUGUCGUUUUAUUUUACUUUGGGAAAAGGACAAACACACCCCCAACAUUUUAUCGGUAAAGGACAAAAACCCCCUAAUAUUUUAAAAAAGAUAUUUACACCCUAAUUUAUUAUAAUUUUAUAAUUAUACCCUUCUAGCAUAUAAAAAAAAUUAUUAGAUUAUCCAAUUUAUCUAUAUAUUGUUAAUAAAAUUAUAAAUAUGCCCUCAUUGCCUCAUUCCUCUAUUUAAACCAAUUUUCAAAAAAGACAUCUACACACUUAAAAAAAAUUUGUAAAUAAAUUAUAAUUUUAAAAAUAAAAUUGGUUAUUAAUACUGUAAUAAAUAACAUAGAAAAUUAGUUAUAAAUGUACAAGUUUAAAUGAUUGACAUGUGGAGAAUUGUUAAAUAUACAAAUUUAAAGUUUAAAUAAAAUUAGUUAUUAAUAACUAAUUUUAUUUUUAAAAUUAUAAUUUAUUUACAAUUUUUUUAGGUGUAUAGAUGUCUUUUUUGAAAAUUGGUUAUUGAUAAAAAUUUAAAUAGAGGAAUUGGACAAUGAGGGUAUAUUUAUAAUUUUUUUUAUAAUAUCCAAUUUGUCUAUUUAUAAUUUUAUUAACAAUAUAUAGACAAAUUGGAUAAUCUAAUAAUUUUUUUUUAUAUGCUAGAAGGGUAUAAUGGUAAAAUUAUAAUAAAUUGGGGUGUGAAUAUCUUUUUUGAAACAAUAAGGGAUUUUUGUCCCUUUGCCUAAACGUUGGGGAUGUGUUUGUCCUUUUCCCUUUUACUUUUAGUUUUUCAUUUAAUUUUGCUUUUAGUUUUUUUUUUUUUUCCCAAAAGUAGAUUUAACUUACAAAUCCCCAAAACCACAAUAAUUUCAAGUCUAUCAAACUUUUAUUGUUGGGUUUCUUCUCACAAAAACUCAAAUAGAUUUUCUAUUAAACUAAAAUUACACCGGAAGAAAUACUGAUGUUUAUCCAAUUUUUGGAAUUCAUUUCGAUAAGAAUACGAUUUCACUUGAUUAGUGAAUUUUUCUUUCUAUUGUGAAUAAAUUAUAAUAUGAUAUAAUUUUUUGAAUUAACUCAUGAGUGUAAAAAUAUAUGUAAUAUUUUAAUUUCAUACAUUAAUUUUGAUUUCAAAUAUAUUUUAAUUUCCCGUUAACUACAUUAUUCACGACUCUAUAUAUAUUGUUAGAUAGUUAAAUUUUAUUAACUUUUAAAUCACUUUAUAAUACAUUAAUUGUCGCAAAUAGUAUCUCAAAAGUAUCAUAACUCUGAAAAUUGAAUCCUAAUCAAUUUUAAAUAUUACGAAAUUCAAAUGAUGAAAUAAUGUAGUAAUUUAACUUAAAAUGUUACAAAAGUUAUCUAUUUUAAUAAAUUCCACGUCAUAUAAGAAGAUCGAGUCAAAUGUGUAAAAUAUUUAGGUAAGUUUUGGAGAUGAGGAGUGCCACCUUUGUUAACUCUUCAAUAUUUAUUGAAAAUGAUCUAAAAUGAUUAAAGAAAUACACGUGGCUAAAAUUCAUUCGUCGAUCAUCAUCACAGGUCAAGAGAAAACGGAGGUAAUUGGCACCCGACCAAAAAACCCACCUGUAAAAAAGUAACUUUCAUUUUUAUUUGGAUUAAAAGGUAAACUUUAAUCUCACCCUCUACCGAAAAAGUAGGUGAGUCACUCGCUCAAUUAUUUUAUUUUAUUUUGUUUAUUUUUUAUUUUUGUUAUUUUUGUUCGUGUUCUUUUAUCAGUCAAAGUCUCUCAAAACAAAUAUAAAAGAACCAUCGGCUUCUUCUACUUUUCACUUUCUUUUUUUCAUUUUUUUUUCUUUUUUCAGCGAUGGGUCCGGUAAAGGCAGCAGCGGGCGAUCUGGUGCUGACGUUUAUGUGGGUAUUUGUGUCGUCAACCUUCGGUGUUUUGACGACUGAGAUUGCCUCCGCUCUUGGCGUUCAUGGCCUUGUUUGGCCGCCCAUGCUCAUCACUACGGCCAUUGUUUUUGUUUUCGUUUUUAUUUUUAAUAUUAUUGGUGACGCUCUUGGUGGCGCCAGUUUCAAUCCCACCGGUACCGCUGCGUUUUACGCUGUCGGUGUCGGCUCCGAUAGCCUCCUCUCCAUGGCCCUCCGCUUCCCAGCUCAGGUCCUCCGUUUUUAUUGUCCAUUUCAUUUUUAUUUUAUCUAUUCAUUUGAUUUUGAUUUUGAUUUUGAGCAAUACUAGAUAUAUAAAACUCAUUUACUCGAACUUGACGUGGCGUAAUGUAAUUGGAUAAGUAUAAGUUGAAAAAAAAAAAAGAACAUUUAAAGUGACCCAUUUGUGAAAAAAAACUAAAAAAAUUUAUUUCUUUAGGUAAUUAUUCAUCUGAAUGCAUUGAUUUAGAAUGAUCCCUUGGUGAAAAAGGGAUUUGUGAUCAUUAAAAAAAAUAAUAAUAAUGCUUUUAUCUGAAAGUGAUUAUUCAUCUGAGUGCAUUGAUUUGGAAUGACCCCUUUACGAAAAAAAAGGACUAGAAGUAAUUCACGAGCUGUCGAGUGUGGAUGUUGGAUGUAACCGUAAAGUUCGCGUUUUGACAGGCAGCGGGUGCCGUGGGCGGUGCAUUGGCCAUCAUGGAGUACAUGCCACCAAAGUACAAGCACAUGCUUGGGGGUCCUUCUUUGCAAGUUGACUUGCAUACCGGAGCCAUUGCUGAGGGGGUGUUGACUUUCCUUAUUACCUUCGCUGUUCUUGUAAUUAUGCUCAAGGGUCCUCAAAGCAAUAUUUUGAAGACCUGGUUGGUUGCUGUGGCAACUGUCGUCUUGAUUGUUACAGGUUCUGCUUAUACUGGACCUUCCAUGAAUCCUGCCAAUGUGAGUAGUUUCCAUAUCUCUCUGCAUCUCUUUCAAUUAAAAAAAAAAAAAAAAAGCAUCCUAAUCGUUUUUCAAAUUUAUUGAAGUCAAUUUACUGUUGUGAUGCUCUAAUUGUACCACUGUCUAACAACUACGCAAUUAGGUAUGGCUUUUACUUUAUAUUUGCUGUUUAGAGUUGCUGUAUAUUUGUGCUCUUCGCCCUUUAUUCACUCUUUUUGAACUUUUUUGUGGUAACUUCCAUCACAACUGUUAAUUCUGACUAACCAGUCCAUAUGCAGUGAAGAGGGUAAUAGAUUAGGUCUUUCACUGGGUCUCAAUAAUAAUGGUAGGUUUGAGAAUGUUGGCUGUCAAUGGGUUGAGAGUAUGAGAUCAAGAGCUCCUCUGUUCACAUAUGACUCAGUAGUGGGGAAGAUGGCAAUAUCUGGCUUCCCUCUCUUUUAAUUUCGAGGGAGUAUUGAGUAUAAUGGCCAUUCAAUUUUUUAAUUCCUUUUAUGCAGCCAAAAUUGUGAUGCCAUAGCUAUUCUGUUUUCAUGGAUCCAUUAAUCAAAUUGAGAGAGAUUUAGGGCGUGUUUGGUAUUGUUUUGUAACUCAUUUUUUUCAUUUUUCUUUUAGAGUUCAACUGUAAUAAUUGUUUGGUGGGGCUUAUCCUAAAAUCAUAUUAUAAAACCAAAAAAGAAAUCCAUUUUUGUUUUAUGAUCUAUAACUGUUAAAUGGAUUUUAUUUUGUGUUUUACAAUAUUUUUUUAGGAUAAGCCCCACCGAACAGUUAUUACACUUGAACCCUAAAAGCAAACAUGAAAACAUGAGUUACAAAACAUUAUCGAGCACACCCUCAUAUAUAUAUAUAUAUUCUGCAUUCAGGAAAGAAAUAUUGAUGUUUUCUGGAUAAUUGUGGUGCCCUUUGGCGCUGCUAUAGUCCUCAGGUAGUGAAGUAGGGAGUUUUUGGUGGAUGCUGACUUUUUCACCUGGUGUAAUCGUUUAUUUGGCACAUGCCCGUGGGAGUUCAUUCAUGUCUCUAGGGAAACUCCUUUUACCUUUGAGAAGCCACAAAGAUACCUUUCUUCUAUCAAAAUAAAUAGGCCAAACGGAUCAUUAUUUGCAGUGUUCUUCUUGGAAUUUACAUAUAUUGGAGCUAUUUUCUUCUGGGUAUUUUGGCCUAGUGCUCUGAUUACCUUAAAAAAUUUUGUUAGAUGGGGGCUGUACUCAUAUCCUUUUAGAUAUGUUAUGGUACGUCAUUGGAAGAGUCAUUACCACUUAACAUUGUUACUUAAGGAUGCAGCAAUUACCCUGGUGAUGCUCCUACAUGCUGAACGGUUGUGAUAUCUUUUACCACAUUUUAGCUAGUCUAAAAGGAAAUUGCAUUGAAAAGUAGAUAUAGAUUAGAUGCUGUAUAUAUGUGUGUGUGUGUGUGUGUGUGUGUAUUUUAAAUCAUAUCUUCCUCUCAUCUUCUUGUUGCACUUGCGCCUACUGAGAUCCACACUCAUAGCUUCAUAUGUAAAAGUCAUCUCCUAUUCUGGUUGUGUAUUUUAUCUAUAUUUGUCAUAUGUUUACAUAUAAAAUUAGCUUUAUCAUUCUGUUGUUAGCACACACUUCAAUAAUAAAAUGAAACGACACUUUUAUCUACAUUGUCUCUACAGGCCUUUGGCUGGGCAUAUGUGAACAAGUGGCAUGACACAUGGGAUCAGUUUUACGUAUACUGGAUUUGUCCAUUCAUAGGAGCAGUUGCGGCUUCUAUGAUUUUCCGUGUUGUCUUCCCCCCACCGGCACCAGCUCGACCGGCGAAGAAAAAGAAGAAAAACUGAAGGUGGGUUAAUCUGCUAAGAUGUGAUAUAUUCGAGCCCAAUGUUCAUGCAAUAAGAACCUCUUUUUUUCCUCUGAGCUCUGGUAUUCUGUGAACUUAUCUUCGGUCGUGCAUUAGCAAAGUUGCCUUAGAUAUCUGUUUUUUAAUUCUAAAAUAGAUGACAAUAGAUACAUUCAAUGGAGUAGUAGGCAGUAGUUAAUUUUGAAAAACCGGCCGGGCUAAACCGGAUCUCGGAUCGGAUUUGGAGAAUAAAUCUUUUGUUUUAUCAAUAAAAAUACUUUAGUCUCUGAUUAGGAAAUUGUUAAAAAGCAUUUUUAUAAUAUUUUUCAUUUUGAAAUUUAAAGCACUUCUAUAGUAAAUUGUCAAACACUCUUUUUAACGUUCUCUCCUUUUUCCCCUAAGAUUGUCAAUAAAGAGAGGUUUAUUUACGAAAGUGGUUAUGAGGUGGAAAGCGGAACGGUUCUUACAAGCAUUGUCAACAUCACUUCAAAUGGCAUUCAUGUCGGGUUUUUUUUUUUGGAGAAAGCAUUCAUGUUGAUUUAGUUGCUUUACAAGCAUUAAAAAGUUGAAACAAAAAACUCAACCAGGAAGCCGUAAAAGUCAUCAAUUAAUGAAACCAUAGAGAUCGCACUCUCAUUGAGACUUUUGGAAGAAUUUAGGGCUAAUUUUCAACCCACCCUUAAUAAGAGUUAUUACUGAUUGAUAACUUACCAAAAAAAAAACAAAAAACAAUAACUUACGAAAAUUCUAAUAAAAGAGAAAAAGAAAAAUAGUUAACAAAAAUGUGAGCAUUUAACAACACGAAUAAAAUAUUAAAAUAAAAUAAACAUAUUUUCAACUUUUUUCUUUUGACACGCAACCGAAACAAGGUUACGACAAAGCAAGAGGAGCAAUUUUUCUUUUUAAGUCGUAUAUAAAUAUUUAAAAUUUAAAAGAAAAACUUUAUUUACACACUUUUGAGGCAAUCCAUGUGUUGGUGGUCCUGGCGUUCCGCGUCCGUUUCCCUCUGUCCCUGUGACCCUGGCCCUCUCCCUCUCCGGUAAUUGAUUUAUACGGUACUAACAAACAAACCAAUAAGCAGCAGUCUGAGACAGGCUGGCUCGUCAGUUUUCGCGCUGAAAGAGACACAACGCUGCGACGACGCUCAAUCAAUCGGCAUUGUAAUUUUAUCACAUGAUCAACGUUCCAAAUCCCGUCAUCUGAAAAAAAACUAAAUCCAUAAACACACAACACUACGCUAUAAGUUCAAUCCUGGAUCCCUCUCUGGAUCCGCCAUCUCAGUCCUUAGCCUUAUCAACCGGCGGCAACGGUCAGAUCCGGUACCGAUCCCCUUCCUCCGCAGAGCUCCUCGAGACCGGCUCCUCGGACAAAAUGAUCAAGCGGCUUCAUAAUCGCCAGCACGACUCCUUCUCCGACAAGAUCCAGCGUUACCGCAGCGUUCUGCUCGUCAUUUCCAUCCCCGUCAUGUUGAUUGCCGUCGUCUUGCUUCUCAUGCCCGGCCGUGCCGCCCCCUCCGACGUCGCUAUGGAUUACGGUCUCAGCCGCAAGUUUUCCCCCAAUUUGAAGCUCUCCAAGAGUUACGCUGUUAUUUUUGACGCCGGCAGUUCGGGCAGUCGUGUGCACGUGUAUUGCUUUGAUCAGAACUUGGAUCUUGUGCCAAUUGGCAAAGAUCUCGAGCUUUUUGUUCAGGUUAUUUCUUAAUUCAUAACCUUUUUUUUUUAAUUUGUUUUCAAAUGAGAAUUUAAUAUUGAUUUCAGGAUUAUGGAUCCGGAUAAUGUAGUUUAUAGAUUAGUUCCUGAUGCAUUGUUUAAGGUUGUUGUUCAACCGCUAGUAUGAGCAGCUUUGAGUUAAGGUGCAUACUGCAAAAGCAUCUGAAAUUGCAUUCUGGAGAAUUAUCAAUUAAGUGCUUUUCGUGAAAACACUUUUAAGUUUUAACUACAUUUUUUUGUUCCCCCAGAAACGUCUUUUCUUAAAAGUGCUUCUGGCAGAAGCUGUCCAAAUGCUUUUCUUGAUCUUAGAAAGCGCUUUUGUCUGAUUCAACCAACCAUUGCAAAAAGAUAAAAGCCCUCACGAUUGCAUUUUUUAGUUGGUUUUAAUUUUUGGCAAAGAGCUUGUGUUUGAGUUAAUAUGGGUUCCAAUAAUACAAUAUGCUAUGAACAAGACUGCUUCAUAUGCAUGCAUAAAGCGAUUGUUCUAGGUACUUGAACUACUUGGAGCUAAGUGUGUGUAAUGAUCUGUUGUUUUACAUAGUUCUGAUUUAAGGUUGGUCAUGGUGUUACAGACUAAACCAGGUUUGAGUGCAUAUGCAAGUGAUCCGCAAGCAGCAGCAAACUCACUAGCCUCGCUUCUUGAUAAGGCUCAAAGUGUUGUGCCACAAGAUUUGCGUCCAAAGACACCAGUUAAAGUUGGGGUGAGUGAAUUCAGAUAAGUUCUCUUUUCUCAUUUAUCAGGAUUUUUUAUUUGAUGCUGUAAUGCCAUUCUCUAAAAUUUUCUCGUUAAAUUACUGAGAUGAGGUUUUGUUGUUUUUGUAGGCAACUGCAGGGUUAAGGCAAUUGGGAGUUGAUGCAUCUGAUAGAAUUUUGCAAGCAGUAAUUCCUCCUUUAUUAACAUAUCAUUUGGUUGGGUUCAUACCUUUAUUUUAUCUUCCAUUGUACUUACAGUUCUCUGAACUUCAAAUUUAAGGUUAGGGAUCUCCUUAAAUAUAAAAGUGCCUUCAAAUCUAAGCCAGAGUGGGUUACUGUUUUGGAUGGUUCCCAAGAAGGUUCUUAUCAGUGGGUAUGUGAUUUUCAUUUCAUCUGUUUCCUUAUUGGUUUUGGCCUAGAGAACAGAAUGCACAUAUGAUAAUGAAGUCAGUUUCAUUCAUGAAGUUCCUCUAUCUUAUUGCACUCAUACUUGUCAUGCAUGCUUGUGUGCGCACAUACGGAUGCACACGUGUAUGUGUGAAGAAUAUGUUGUAAAUAAUGAUUGUGAUAUUUGUUCUAGAAUGUAGGUUCUUCCAUCUUAUCACCAAGUCAAAGAGCCAUCUAUUCAUUUUUAUAAGAUGGCAUAGCCUGGUUUCUGCUGCUAGGUCUUGAUUUUUUUCAUGGACUCUUAGACUAGUCAAAUCAAAUACACAUAGUAAUUCCAGGCUCUGACAUAUUCAUAGUACUUACUUUGUUGACAUAGGGAAGUGGUAUUGACUUAGACAUAUGAAGACAUAAAUUGAUUACAAAACAUAAACAUCAUUAUAUCAUUUGGCUACAUUUAAAGUUAUAAGAUGUUGUAGGAACAUCGGGUUUGUUCAUUUUUUUUGUUUAAAUGGAUGUAGUCUUGAAUUCUUUAAUGUAUCAUGCGUUUCAGGUAACAAUAAACUACCUCUUAGGGAAUUUGGGGAAGAAAUAUUCAAACACAGUUGGAGUGGUUGAUCUUGGCGGUGGAUCUGUACAAAUGGCUUAUGCAAUCUCAGAGAAAGAUGCUGCAAAUGCUCCAACAGUGCCAGAAGGAGAGGAUCAAUAUGUAAAUGAAAUGUAUUUGAUGGGAACAAAAUAUUAUCUUUAUGUUCACAGGUCCACUCUUUCUUUCUUAAAAUUUAUCUUAUUAUUUUAUUCAAUAAUUGCUUGGUCAAUCACCUCAUGGAUCAUUUAUAGUGGUCAUUUUUCAUUGGUCCAUGAUACAGAAUUUUCUAGGUUCUCUAUCUGUUUAAAAAAGAUCUUUUAUUCAGCAAAGUACCAUAAAGUUUUCCUAGAUACAUUUUCUAACCAUAAUGUUUUGGCAUUUUGCAUACAGUUACUUGCAUUAUGGUUUGUUAGCUGCUCGAACAGAAAUCUUGAAGGUCACUAAAGACUCUGACAACCCAUGCAUUUUGGCUGGUUAUGAUGGUAUGUUCAAGUGACUAAUUUUCUGGAGUCCUGAUAAGUUAUCAUUCUACUUUCUUUCUACGAAUCAUGGCUGAUCUCACUUUCUCUCUUGCUUGCUCUAACUUAGAUCACUAUGAAGAUUAAUGAGAAAAUUAUUUUUGGACACGGAAACUUAUUCAUCUAAAUCUUUAAUUCCCUGGAAAAUAUUUAGGAUUGUGUAGCUGGUUGGAGUUAGCAAAAUUUUUUUCUGAGAUAAAAGUUUUAUUUACACUGACUGUGGACAUCAGAUUGGAAAGUUAAGUACUUUUUUGUCCUUGAAAUCUUUUGAAGGAUCUUACAAAUAUGGAGGACAGGAAUACAAAGCAUCAGCAUCACCAUCAGGUUCAAACAUAGAGGAGUGUCAGAGUGUAGCUAUCAAGGCUCUCAAAGUUAAUGAUACUUGUACUCACAUGCAGUGCACAUUCGGUGGAGUAUGGAACGGCGGAGGUGGUGAUGGACAAAAAAAUAUGUUUGUUGCUUCAUUUUUCUUUGACAGGGCUGCCGAGGUAUUACUCUUCUAUAACUUAGUUGCAUGAGGAUAUUAAUUUACAGCACAGUUUUCUUAAUUGUCUGGCCGCAUUGAGGUGGUCUAACUCGAUAACUUGCUUUUAGGCUGGUUUUAUUGACCAAAAUGAACCCGUUGCCAAAGUUCGUCCUGGUGAUUUUGAGUCUGCAGCUAAGCGUGCCUGCCAAACUAAACUUGAGGACGCAAAAUCCAUAUAUCCACGUGUGGAUGAGAGCAAUCUACCGUACAUAUGCAUGGAUCUUGUCUACCAGCAUGCAUUGCUUGUAGUCGGAUUUGGUGAGUAACACUGACAUCAAGUAAAUUUCUCUUUAUUAGUUAAGUUGUAUUUCGUGAGCCAUAUCCUGUUGGUAUUCUGAUCUCUCGUCUUUUUGGGCAGGCCUUGAUCCCUGGCAAGAGAUUACCUUAGUAAAGCAAAUUAAAUAUCAAAAUUCACUUGUCGAAGCAGCAUGGCCACUAGGCAGUGCCAUAGAGGCCAUCUCAUCUUUAGGAUUGAAUCAGGUUUCCGCAUAAUUAUUCAUCUAAACUUCAGCAAUGUGUGGUUUUUGGGUGUCUGCGGAUUUGAAGCUGAAGUAUCCACGGCCGGUGGCCUCAGAAUCAGUAUCAACCUGGAUUGGGAAUUGAAUUUGGUCUAUAUAUCUUGGGACCAUUUAUUAUCAUUUGUAAUCACGUUACAAAAUGUUCUGAUUAUAAUUUUUCGAGUGUUUUGAUUUAUUUAUGUUGCAUUUAUUUUCCGGAUUAGGGAAUCGGAAUCAUUAUUUUGCAAAAUAGAGUUAGGAAUCGAAAUCGAAAUCGGAAUCGGGAUCGUGGGUUCACCACAAUUUGGGAAUGAGGAAUGAGAGACUCAUUACCAAGGGGAGGUGGGAAUGAGUCCCUCACUCCCGGAAAUGACUAUUUUACUUACUCUAAAAUUACAAAUGCUCAUAUUGUCCUCAAUUAUAAUUAGUUAAUAUAUUAUUAUUAUUAAUUAAUUAAUACACUACUAUAAUAACUAUUAAUAUAAUUAUUAUAAUUAGUUCAAAUAUUAUUAAUUAAUUAGUAUAAUUGUCAGUAAUAUAUUUAUAUAUUAUUAACAAUAAUGUAUUAAUAAUUAUAGUUUUUGAAUAAAUAAUCACAAUAAUUAAUAUAUUUUUAUAAUAAUUAUUAUUAUAAUUAAUUAGUAUAUCAUUAUAAUUAAUUAAUUAAAAAUUUACAAUUAAUUAUUAUAUUAUUGACAAUUAUUAUUAUUAUUAUUAUUAUUAUUAUUAAUUUUUGAAUAAAUAAUCACUAUAAUUAAAAUAUAAAAUAAUCAUUAUGCCAAUAAUUCAUAAAGUAAUUUUUAGUAAUUUGUUACAUUCUAACUCAUUCCAAUUCUGAUUCAUAUAGGUUAAGUAAAUAACUUACUCUGAUUCCCAUUUCGGUUUAUUCCCAUUUCAGCUCAUUUCGAUUACUGACAAAUAAAUGCAGUAUUAGUUCAUUUACCAAGAGGAAUCAGUACCAAACUAAACCAAUUUUUUUUUAUUUUUUUUUAAGUAAAUUCUUCUAAAUUUAAUCAAAGCCAUGAGUGGGCAUGUUAUUUUGUAUUGAAUGGUCCGUACUGUAUUAAAAAUUUAACCCAUACGUGGUGAUGAAAAACAUUUUAGAUGAGAAGUACAAAAUUAUAUAGAUGAGUUUGGUGUAGUAUUAGUGAUUCAUUAUUAUAUUUUAAUUUUGAGAGUAAAAUUGGGGUGUGUGAAUUUGGUAGGUUUUUUUUUUCGUGAUUUAUGAAUAAUUUGUGAAAAAGUGUUUAAAAAAGUUGGAAAAUGAGUUUGCUUUUUUGUGUAUCAUUUCUGAUACAUGUAGUAUUAAUCAACAGGAAAAUUUUCAAAACUAAUCAACCAAAAAAAAGGAAAAUUUUCAAAACUAAUCAACCUUUUGUGUAUCAUUUCUGAUACAUGUAGUAUUAAUCAACAGGAAAAUUUUCAAAACUAAUCAACCAAAAAAAAAAAAAAAACAAAUUUUAUAGUAAGGAAACUCAAGUUGCAUGUUCACAUGUGUUUAUAAAGAGUUAGCGCCUUCUCGAGAUCAACUUCAACUGGCUGCGACCGACCCUUCGGAAUUCUGUUUACAGUGAACAGUUAACUCGAGAAUUUCUUUCCCACAUGACAUGAUAAUUGCAGUAAGUUAUAUUCAAUAUCGAAACACAUUUUCGGGCUUGGUCCUUUCAUUCAGUCAUUUUCACGAACACCUUCGCUUCGCUUCCUUGAGAAAAAUAACUCCUCUUUCUUCUUGCGGUUAAUUUCAAUUAUCGUAUAUAUCAUUGUUUUUUGUUUAUUGAGUUACUUAGAAAAUGCAAGGAAACAGAGUAAUUAGAUCUAACUUAUCGCGUAUUACGAGUCUUGCUCGCUUCCUUUUCAGUGCUGCAUAUACAAAACCAUCCGAGUUUUCAACUUCCGUUAUCAAAACCAAUGUCUUUACUCCCACUAAUAAUUUUACCUUCCCAUUUCACUUCUCUUCUUGCUCCACCUCUAAUCUUGAGACCCUAAACGCGCCAAAAAUAUCUAUAUUGGAUGAAAAAGACUGUAGUGGCAGUGAUAACGAUGAUGAAGAGGAUAUUGUUGCAACAGAUGUCAAGCAGUUGAAAAUAAGUGAUGAGGGUGUACUAAAAGAUGCUAAGACCCUUGUGGACAUAUUGCGUGAGUUUAGUCAUAAACGCUCUGAAAUGAGAAACAAGAUUGAGGAAUGUGGUAUUAAGGUCUCAUCAGAGUUGGUGAGCGAGGUGCUUUCUUGGGUUCGAAAUGAUUGGGAAGCAGCAUUUACUUUCUUUUUAUGGGCUGGAAAGCAGUCGGGUUAUGCACAUUCGACUCGCGAGUAUCAUACAAUGAUAGCUAUCCUUGGGAAAGUGAGGAAGUUUGAUACUGCAUGGGCAUUGAUAGAUGAGAUGAGAGGGGGAGAACCAGGUCCUUCCCUUGUGACAAAGCAGACUCUUCUGAUUUUGAUUAGAAGAUAUUGCGCAGUGCAUGAUGUGGGGCGAGCUAUAAAUGCCUUCUACGCAUAUAAAAGGUUUAAAUUUGCUGUUGGUAUUGAGGAUUUUCAAGGUCUCUUAUCAGCUCUAUGUCGGUACAAGAAUGUGCAAGAUGCUGAGCACUUGAUGUUUUGUAACAAAGAUGUAUUCCCAUUCAAUACCAAGAGUUUUAAUAUCAUUCUUAACGGAUGGUGUAAUAUCAUUGGUAGUUCACGUGAGGCAGAGAGAGUAUGGAUGGAGAUGAGCCAGAGAGGUAUAUGUUAUGAUGUCGUGUCAUUUUCGUGUAUCAUAUCUUGCUACUCUAAAGCUCGCAACCUUCAUAAGGUGCUCAGGCUUUUUGAUCAAAUGAAGAGAAUGGGGAUUGAAUGCGACAGAAAAGUUUACAAUGCAGUAAUUCAUGCUCUUGCAAAGGGUAGAUUAGUGAAAGAUGCAAUCAGUCUCAUGAAAAGUAUGGAGGAGAAGGGUGUUGCACCAAAUGUUGUUACUUAUAAUUCACUGAUCAAGCCUCUUUGUAAAGCACGGAAAUUAGAUGAGGCUAGACAGGCCUUUGAUGAGAUGUUGCAGCGUGGUAUCUCACCCACAAUUCGAACUUACCAUGCCUUCUUGGAUAUCAUAAGGACAGGGGAAGAAGUAUUUGGCCUGUUGGAGAGUAUGAGAAAAAUGGGCUGCCAGCCAACUAAUGAUACUUACAUCAUGUUGAUUAAAAAGUUUUCUCGAUGGCGCCAGUUUGGCAAUGUUUUUAAAGUGUGGAAUGAGAUAAGUGAGAAUGGGAAUGGUCCCGACCGUAGCUCAUAUACUGCACUUAUACAUGCCCUCUUUUUAAAUGGAAAGUUGGAGGAAGCACACCAAUAUUAUAUGGAGAUGAAAGAAAAACAAUUAUUGCCAGAACCUAAGACAGAUGAGUUGCUUCAGGAUUGGUCAUAUAAUAAGCAGUUUGUUGAACGGCAAAUAGCAUCUUUAAAAGCUCAUCAACCUCAAUCAGGACAGAAUACCACAGUGAUCUCCAAGAAAUCGGAUCAGGACAGAGAGUUCCUUCAACAACCUGAAACUAGAAGAGUUGUAAGACAUCAGGGUUUUUCUUUUUGGGAGUAGUAGGUUCUUUAUAACAGUAAACCUUGUUGGUAAGUGUUUUUUGGUUUCAAUGUAAUUAUAACCUUUUCUUUGUCCAUGAGCUUUUCUAUUAACUCCACAUAGGUGCAUGACAGUUUCAGUCAACAUUAUUAAAAAAUGAUUUUUUAUAUUAUUUUCUGUUAUUGUUCAAAUCAUUGUGAAAAAAAAUGAAGUUUCUUGAAUUCAUAGAUCACAACUUGAACAUGCCUAAGGUGCGAACUAACCAGUUACUUAAAAAAAAUAGUAAAAUAUAAAGAAAGGUGAAACUUUCUAGUUUGUCUUGAUUCAAGUUUUCAAAUUAAAAAAAAAAAAAAAGGUCACUUGAAGUGUGUGUAUUAUGUUUAUAUCACUAAAUCUUCUCUUCUGGCAGUCAAUUGGCAUGUGUAUUACUCUGUUUCUGGUUAUCACAGUACUUGAAUGUGGAAGGCUGCUUGGUCUGUUUGAGAUUUAUCCCUUUUAUGGUUGCUGUUCUAACUGUGGCUACCAAGCAUAUGGGCCUUGGCACAGGUGGUAAAGAGUGCCCAUGUAGUGAUGAGCCCUGGAGCUGGCAAUAGGAAAAAAGACUGUUUGGCUAAUAAGUUUUUGAUAUGUUAAUGCAAUUGUUAAAUUAUUAGUUCUGAAUUAGCCUGGUAAAGUCAUAUCCCAGGCGCUCAUACUGCAAUUUUCCAUAAAGAUUCUUCUUGUCAAAUUCAAUGUUUAGUGGCAUGCUUAUACCAUCAUCCACCAAGCAUAUGGGUCUUGUCUCAGUUUGUGAAGAGUAGGCAUGCGGUGAUAGUCCCUUGACCUAGCAAUAAGAGCAAGAGUGUUGACUAAUAAGUUUUUUCAUAUGUUGCUGUGAUAUCUAUUAACUUUUGGAUCCUGUGUUAGCCUGCUAAAAUCGUGUCACAGCCACUUUAUGCUGCAAUUUGCUUUUAAGAUCCUUGUAUAACCCUCCUGGUUUGUAUUGUAUUAAUGUUUGGUGGUUUGCUAAUGGCUACCAAGAAUAUGGGGUUGUCUCAGGUGCUAAAGAGUGGACAUACAGUGAUAAGCCCUUCACCUAGCAAUAGAAAAAGAGUGUUGGAUAAUAAGAUUUGCAUAUGUUGCUCCGAUACUUAACUUUUGAGUCCUGAAUUAGCCUGCUAAAUUCAUGUCACAGCCACUUCAUGCUGCAAUUUGCUGUAAAGACCCUUUUGGACUGUAGUAGAUUCUAUAACAGUUAGUUCCUAGGCAUAAUAAGGGUUCGAUGGUGCAAGAGACUAAAUUCUUUUUUCUUGAGUCAAUCCUGAUGGUCCAGGGGCAAAAACUAUUGAUCAAAAUGCAAUGGGGAGAGUGUAGAAACUUUACACAUGUAUGAAAACCUUAAAGCUAUGACUUGUGACCUAUUUAAAGUGAAAUCCUAAUGAACAUUCAAUUAAUUAGUUCGGAGGUAAGUGAAUAUAAUUCUACUAAUGUUCAGAAAUUGCAUGAACUACAUGCAGAUCCUAAGAAAAUAAAUGUUUAGUUAAAUAGUUUGAAUGCAAUGUUGUUUGCUAUGUGACAUCUGUAUAAAGGUCUUAUCUGCUUUUGCCAAUACUUGAAUUAUUUUUGGAUGAACCUAUCCAUCAUGGCUAAAAUGUUUCCCGUUAAAAGUGGUCUGAUCCUGAGCUGAUAAAACCAUACAGGACCAACCAUAUGAAAAACUUUAGAACUUUUUAAUCUGUAGUAGGCUUCACACAGAUCCACAGAACUGAGAAACUUUUUCCAUGUAUUUGUAGGAUGGAAAGGAAACAAACAUCUGUUUCCUGCUUAGUAUUGUUCUGUGCAAAAUGACUUCAGGUUGUUUCUCUCAUCAUAGAUUUUUUGGUUGUUGGCUUCUACUAAAGGAAGAAAAAUGUGGAACAGCUUUAAAAUCCAGGUAGUUCCUCAUGCCAUCCAAUUGGGUGAUUUUAUGGAAGCGAAGCCUAACAUUGAAUGGGUUGAAAAUACAAUUUAUGAUCCAUGUCAGAUAGGGUGUUAAUCAUGAAUUUUUACAUGAAAUCAAGCUGCGGCACAGCCUGAUAAAGGUAAACCUGAUUUAACCAUACAGCCUUUUGUUUAUCUUGAUGUUCUUGUGGGACAGGAAGAAUGAUUGUAAAGCUGUUUAGAUGCCUGUCUGUUUCACAUCCUCAUGGUAGUGAAAAAUUUUUUUUUUUUCCCCUGAAGUCCAGAUUUACUGCUAUCUGCCCCAUUUCUAAUUUGUUCUCUCUUUUUGGUAGGCACAGCCUGAUUAAGGUAAACCUGAUUUAACCAUACAACCUUUAGUUUAUUUUGCUGUUACUUGUGGUUCAGGCUCGAUGAUAAUAAAGUUAUUUAGAUGCCUGUCUGUUUGAUAUCCUCACAGUAAUGACAAUUUUUUUCCCCAAAUAGCAGAUCUAGUGCUCUGCCCAUUUCUAAUUUGUUCUCUCUUUUCAUUCCCAUGUGCUGGUUUGUCUGUGUAAGCAUUCUGCUAAUAUAUUGUAGAAUAGAGUAGAUGAAACAAUAUAGAUUGCUGUUUAAAGAUCCAUUAUCUUAGUUUGUAAGAUACUAACAGGGUUAAUCCUCAAUAGUCAAUGUUUAUCAGCAAUAUAAUAUUUUGUGGCUAAGAGACAGAAAAUAACCCAAAACCUUAGUGUUGAAACAGUUCCUUGUUAGGCCUAACUCAGCUUGCAAAGUCCGAGAUGGAAAACUGGUGGAAUACCAUUUAAAGUAGAUAACUACUAGCCUCUAGAUUAGGUAAACUACACGUGGAAAACUAUGGAGGUCACUAUCAAAACUUUUGAGGUUGGAAACUAGCUAAUCCAUAUUUUUACAUGCUGGCCAUGCCUUUGACCAGCUUAAUAAUUGUUGUUUCAGUCAAAUUUCCUUAACAACCUGAUGUGAACCAGUUACACGUUUGCUGGAUCUGGCAUUCAAUCUGCCUGGUGUCAUGUUAAGGUAAGAAUGAUGUUUUUCCUUUGGUCUUCAAUGUGAGAAGUUAACCAUAUGGGUAUUUAUGUUCAUUUCUAAAUUUUUGGUUGGUAUUGAAGCAUAAUUCUAUUGGUUGAUCAAAGUCAAGCUUCUCAUAACUAAGCAGAGUGAUGCUUUUGACAAUUCAUCAUCGCCUCACCGCACGAGAGGUAACGCUUUUAUUUGCUUGACCAAGGGAUUCUUUGAUAUCUAUCUACUAGUUGGAGAAAAAAGGAACUGAGACAAAAUUAUGGGAUACUUUUAUCCAAAGACAGUACAAUUUUAUUGAUAAAAUAAUGCAUAUUGACAUGUGGAUAUUUGAGUUUCAGCUGAACAAGUUACCUACUAAUUGGAAAAGUGAAGGAGGUGGAGGAAAAGAACCAUUGAACUCCCAGGUACUCUAUUAAAUAUCAUACAUGAGAUAAGAUUCAAAGUAUGCAUCCUAUUCUUUGCAUGAAAACAAACAUAACGUUAAUCUCAUCAGCCAAACAAAAGCAUCUUUGAAGGAUAGAUACUAAAGUCUAAGAAGUUGUGGAUAAUCAUAAACUUUUUGGUUAUGCUCAUUCUUUUGGCAUAUUGCUUUUGAAAUCUUAGCUGUAACCCAGUUUGUCUCAUUCUUGUUCUUUUGUCCAAAUUCGGCAGCUACCAUUGCUCAAAUCCCAUUUGUUUUCAUUGUAUUAUGGAAGUCUCCCUAUAUGCGGGGGACUUUAUAUUUAUAUCUUUUGGGUGGUUAUUAUCUAGAAAAAUUUCCCAGUUCAAUUGCUAAUAUUAUUAAUUCUUUUAUCUCUUACUCUACACACACACAUGGAUACAUGUGUGUGUGUGUGUGUACUGCUUUGCUCUGUCAAAGCUGCAUGUUCUGAUUUGGAUUAAGGAAACAGCAUUAGGUAACCAAACUUACGAGCAAGAUUGAGUGCUAACAAGGAGGAAACUUAAACAAUUCAACAUGUGGUUAAGUAAUAACAAUAGAAUUUGCAAACAUGUGAGAAUUUGACAAAGUUUUCCGACUUUUUCACAAAAAAUGUAUUGUUAUGUACUUACUUCCAGCAGCAAUAUUUGUUUCUUGAUAGUUUGGAUACGUAUGUGCACGUAUGUGCUUACAUAAUUGCCCCAUAUUUGCUGGAAUGAAGGAGUCAUUGCUUGAUAAAAUCAAGCCAUUUUUGCAGUUGAGACUUUGAAAUUAGUGAUUUAAGAAAUUUUGUUAGGUAUUUGUUAUUAUUGACUAAAUCAAAACUUCGCCGCAGAAUUGCACCUAAUCAAUGUUGUUUACAUCACACGUGCGGUGAGAAAACUAUUCAAGUAUUGACUCUUAUUAGUUUAGAUCUUGGCUGUUGUCAAAGCUUUUAUUUUAUGAGAUAUGACUUGAUGAACCCAACAGGAGGAUAAUAUUUUCAAUAUUUAGUUAGGAUGAUAAAUCAAUUAAAAAGCAAAUGGGGAAAAAAAUUUGCAAUAGAAGUGACAGCUUGAAUAUAAAAAUAUCACAAGCGUGUGCCAUGCAUCAAUUACUCUUUUGGCUCUGAUGUGAAUGCUAAAGCUAGCAUAAAAAAGGAAGCAAGGUUCUCUGAGUUCAGGUCCAAGAAGCUUGAUUGAGGGAAGAUUAUAUUGUGAGCUGAGAUAAGCUAAAGAGGAAAUGAGGAAUAUUCUUGGGGAGUGUGAGCAUUUUAUUUAUAUUUAUGUCAGUUUAGUAAAACUUUCCUACUUAAUUUAAAAAAACCCAAGUGAAUAUACUUGCACCUUGGACUUUAUGUGGUUUCGGACAUAUUUUUAAUUGCUAAGGGCAUAUGUAUGUGCCCCCAUAAGCCGAGUCAUCAUAGUACCAAAAAGGUCUCUUGACGAUAUGAUUUAAGCAAGCAUCAUUAUUCAAUUCAAGCCUUGUGGUUCCACUAUCUUCUUCUAGAAACACUGCCUUAAUGUAUCCCUCGUGCAGUCGUAUUCCUUACAGAGUUGGUCCAACCCAUUCUCAUAUGCCAACACUUGGCUACAUGUAUAAAUGGCCACGUCAUCUCUCUCUCUCUCUCUCUCAAAACGAAAAUAUCCUUCAGUGGGACGAGCACGUCACGUCUUUCUGAUGGAUAUCAUUUCAAGAAAAGUUAUAUCAUCUUAGUAAAUUUUUUUUUUUCUGUUUUUUAUCCUAAUUAAUUUUGCGGUCCGUAAUUUUGUAAGUUAUUGGAUUAUUAUGGGAAUGAUGGAAAGAAUUAUUAUGCCCAUCUCGCUCAAAACUUUUUGGGAUGUAAUAACUCGACAUGAUAUCCUUAUCUCUUGCAUGAGACCCCAUUUGAACAAAAAUUUUGAAUGGUCAAGAGAUACACAAAUUUACGGCAUGAUGACUAGGACCGCCACACAAGUGCUAAUAGGAACAAUUGGACAAAAACUGAGGGGGGUACGUGUCGUGUUUUGAUGUAAAAAGGUUGGGGCACGUGUCGUGUUUUGAUGAGAGGAGAACUAUGAUGUCAGAAGAUUUAACCCCAUUGUUUUAUCUCAGCCGCCACCUUUCUAUUUGCGGGAAAGAAAAAGACAAAGCCGGAGCUCUAACCAAUAGUAUCAAAGCCCUCCGAACCCAAAUGCCACAGCUGGCAUCUAGUGGGGCCCCUCUACAAAUGCAAUGCAGCUGAUUUGAUUUCUUCUUCUUUCUUCUUCUUCGGCCUAAUCCUUUCUUUCUUUUUUUUUAUUUAUUUUUUAUUCCAUUUCCCACAUAAUGACAAAUUCCCCACAACCAUAUAUGGCCCCCCAUACCCUUCUCGCAAAAAUUUCAAUCCCUUUCUCUCUUUUGGGUUGGUUUCAUUCUCUCUCUUUUGGGUUGGUUUCAUUCAUUCUUAGCCAUUCUUUGAAAGAGUUUAAUCAAUAGCUUAAGCUUGUUUAAGCUUUAUCAAGUUUUAUUAUACACAAAACUCUAUAGAGUUAGUUUGAAGUUACUCUCUCUCUCUCUCUCUCUCUCUAUAUAUAUAUAUAUAUAAUCAUGGUUUGCAUAAAGAACCCGGAAUCAGCCCUGCCACCAGGGUUUAGGUUUCACCCAACGGAUGAGGAACUAAUCCUUCAUUAUCUCAAGAAAAAGGUUGCAUCGAUGCCUUUUCCGGUUUCCAUCAUAGCUGAUGUUGAUAUUUACAAGUUUGAUCCAUGGGAUUUACCAGGUUUGUUUGUUGUUGGCCUCUUUUGAUUCAUUUUGUUAAUAAAACAGUAUUCAUAUAUAUGUCAAGUGACUAACGAUUAUAUGUUGUUUUUGGGUUGCUCUUUUGAUCCUCCAGCCAAGGCUGCCUUCGGUGAGAAAGAGUGGUAUUUUUUCAGUCCUAGAGACCGAAAGUACCCGAAUGGAGCCAGGCCGAACAGGGCAGCUGCAUCCGGGUAUUGGAAGGCGACAGGCACGGAUAAGAUCAUCUUGGCAACAUCUGUGGGAGCUCAUCAAGAAAACAUUGGUGUGAAGAAAGCUCUUGUGUUCUACAAAGGCAGGCCUCCGAAGGGAGUUAAAACUAAUUGGAUUAUGCAUGAGUAUCGCCUUGCUGAAAACCCCAA